rnacentral:lncRNA from 1 species
AGCACCUUAUAAUCUCCAAAAAGUCCUCUAUUUUUCAAACAUAUAUUUUUGUUUUCCCUACUACCUUUUUUGUUAGCCAUAACCUUAGCCUACGUUACGUCCUACUAAAAGUUCUUCUCGAUUUUUGGGAACUAUAGUCUGAAGUAAAAGCUGGUAAUAUGGACUAAAAGAUGUGGUGAUGCAUAAAAAUAAAAAUAAAUUUUGCUAGUAAUUCAUUGGACUUGAGAUCAUUUUAUUUCUAAGUUGUGGGCAUUAUUUUUUAUCUUGGUGAGAGCAUGUAAUGUUGUUUUAUUAUUCUCUCAAAUUUACCAUUUUUUAGAGUGACAAAUUAAUUUGGGGUAUUUUUUUUUUUGAGAGAGUCACUCUUAAUCGUGAGAUUUUGGGGUUUGAUGUAUCAUUCUUAAAAGUGGCUUGAUUAAUGUAGCUCUGAUCAUUGAUCAUUUUACAGGAUUUUACUAAACUGUUUUGAGCGGGUGUGAUUUUCUUUAGGCUGAAGAUAAUGCUUAUACUUUUAUUUGAUAGUUGUCAUUAAUCUAAUGAAAGAAGUAAACACAAUUUUUCAAAAAAAAAAAAAGAUUUUCAAUUUGUUUUUGAAAUUUCUCUAAAUUUGUAUCGCUUAAAUUGCUAGGGCCUAGCAAUAAGCUAGUUGGGGGGUGUGAUUGACACUAAAAAGUGUACAUUUAAUAAGGAUAAAAUUAUUAUUUUUCACUUAUUGUGUCGAUUAAUGCGUUCAUUAUUUCUAAAUUAUUUUAAUACUCCCCAAAUAUAUUUUAUGUUAAAUUAAUUCGUAAUUUGUUAAUUUUUAUCUUGUAAAUAUUUUUCAGGAAUAAAGAUGGAAUUAGAAUUGAAAACGGGAACAAAGAAGAACUACUGGAACACAAUUGAAGAGAUCUAAUAAUAAAAAAUAAAAAAUAAAAACAAAACAACAAAAAAAUAAAAAAGAACAAAAAGACAAAAGAGUAAAAGGCAACCAUGUUUUGGUUGCCUGUGAUGGCCAGGAGGCGUAAACGCCUCCUGGCCAUCACACUUCUCAACAUUCCUUUAAAUUAUAAAAAAAUAAAAUAAUAAUAUAAUAAUAAAUUAAAUAAGAAUAAAAAGAAUGAAGAUGAGGCAAUUGUUGCCUAUAAAAGCCGGAGUAUUGAGAAGCCAGGAGGGGAAGUUAGGGAGCUAAAUUGAGAGCUGAAGCCGAGACUGAAGACUUUCUUUCUUUCUUUCUUUGUUUCUUUUCUUUUCUUAUUUCCGUUUGUAUCAAUUUUCUUUGUAAUAUAUUUCAAAAGGUUUAUCAAAUAAAAAGAGUGUUGUGUUUUCUUUCAAUAUGAGUAGCUAAUUUUAUUAAGCUGAGGUGAAGGGUGAAACUCAAUGUUUUAAACUAUUAAUUAUUAUUAUUUUCUCAAAUGAGUUUUCAAGUUUAUUUAAUUCUUUUCUAAUUAUUUUUAUAUCAUGUUAAUUUAUAAAUUUCACUGGAUUUUAUGGUAUUUUGAUAUAAUGUCGACACAUUAAUAUAAUGUGGCACAUUAGGUACUUUAUUCUAUAUUUAUCCACACACAUAGAAUUAAAUGAUAUAAUAAUCAAUUGGUAAAAGUGAGGUAAAAUAUAAAUGAGAGAGUAUUAAAAUUAUAGUUUGAAUACAGAGAGUGGAUCUUAAACCUUAGCUUACUUUUAAAUCAAUUUUAAAUAAUAUCUUUGCCCCGUAACUAAUUUUCUUAGUUUUACUACAUUUAAAACUCCCUGUGGUUCGACCCUGGUCUCACCGGAUUAUAUUAUAACUAGACACUCUUAUACUUGAGAGUAAUACACUUUUGAGUCGUGUCAAAACGGUAGUAGACUCCAUAUCAUGUUUAGUGUAUGUUUCUGCACAAGAUUUUAAUCAUGUCCCAAGAAAUUCCAUUUGGUUGCAGUUAAAAUAAUUUGGUGAUAUUUGUGUGGAACUAUUGAUCUUAAACUUUGGUAUUAUAGAGGGAACACAUAUAGACUUAAUAUGCUACUCGGAUGCCGAUAUUGUUGGUUAUAAAGUGGACAUAAAGAGUAAUAAUGGUACUUGUCAUUUUCUAGGUCAUUUAUUUGUUUCAUGGUUUAGUAAAUAGCAAAAUUUAGUUGCACUUUCAACCAUCGAGGCUAAAUAUAUUGCCAUUGGUAGUUGCUGUGCGCAAAAAGUUCGGAUAAAACAAACCCUUGGAGAUUAUAGGAUUAAUCUUGAUCACAUACCCAUUAGGUGUGAUAACACUAGUGCUAUAAACUUAUCAAAGAAUCACAUUCAACAUUCUAAAACCAGGCUCAUAGAAAUUAGACAUCAUUUUUCAAGAGAUCAUGUUUAAAAAUGGGACAGUGCAUUAGAAUUUAUUUCAACCAUAAAACAACUUGCAGAUAUUUUUACAAAUCUCUUCUGUGAAGAACAAUUUACCAAAAUCCAACCUGAACUUGGGAUGAUGAAGUUUUCACAUUAAUAUUUCUUUUCAUGAUAUUGAAACUAUUAACUUUUACGAUUUUGUAUCUUUGUCAUUUGUAUAUUGCAUGAAUUGUUUGUGUCCACUAUAUUAUAUGUGUUGAUUUUGUGUUUUUAAAUGAUUAUCAUCAUGUUUCAUGCACAAAGUGGCAUAUUGAAAAAUUUUGAUCACAAAAUGAUUUUGAAAUCAAUUAAGAUUUAGCCGAAGAUUAAAUUAGCGUGCAAAAUAUAAAGCAAAUGGUUAAUCACUUGAGUUUACAUAAUUAAUCACCUUGAAUCAGAAUGCUUGUUAUUUUGAAAUGGUAUGUCAUUUUUGGGAAACGAUAAAAUUAAAUUGGUGAACAAAAUAAAAAACAAACGAUUAACCACUUGAGUUUACACGAUUAACCUCUUUGAAACAGUUGCUUGCUAUUUUGAAAUAGUUUGUUGCUUUUACGAAAAAUAAACCAUUUUCAUGAUUCUCACUCACUGGACCUAAACGAUACACCACUUAUUCGUAAACAGUAAAUCGUUUUCACAUUUUAAGGUCAUUGUAGGGUUUCUUUUGAAAUAUAAGUGUGCAACCCAAGAGGGGGGUGAAUUGAAAUUUUAAAAAUUAUCCUAGCAAAUCCACACAACAAACAAUCUAAUGUCUUAAUAAAAAUUGAAAGCAAUAAGUUCAAUAAAAGCACAAUAACAAAUGAGUAAGGGAGAAGAGAAACAAACACGCGAAUUUUUACGUGGUUCGGCAAUCCCCGCCUACGUCCACGCCUCCAAGCGAUCCAAGCUUGAGGAUUUCACUAUCCGAGCCUUUCCAAGGCUUCAACCGUUUACAAUUGACUUCAAUGUGUCAAUGAACCUUUACAACAAAGAGAUUAUCUCCCAAUCUUUUCACUCAAGUGUCUUACACACUCAAACUCUUACAAUUAAGAUGAAGAAAUGAAAGUUACAAUAAAACUCACUCAAAGAGUAGAUAUUCAAAAAUGAAGAACAAGAGAUGAUUCAAUGUUUUGUGAUUUGCAAAUUGAAAGCUCAAGAUAUCUCGUGUGCUUUUUGUUUAUGCUUACUAGAGAGGUUGAAAAUGAAUUGGAUUUGAGUUUUUAUAGUUUGAGCUCAUAAACUAGCCGUUAUGCACAUUUUGGUCAUAACCGGCUUGCCGUUUAGGAAUCCGGUAAGCCACUUUUAUGUUACCGCUAAGGCAAAAAUUUGAAUUUUAGAAUAUCCGGCAUGCCGCUUUUCAUAGCCGGUUAAUCGCUUUUGAAAUCCGGAUUGCCGCUUGCGAAAUUCGAAUAGUCGUUUAUGCUCUAGAAGCUUACUGCCCAAAAUCCGGAUUGCCGUUUACCAUAUUCGGCUAGCCGCUUGCUACAGUAACUGCUACAGUGAAAUAUUUUUUAAAAUUAUAAUUUAACCCCAAAACUUUAUAAAAUUAUAUUAUGACCCAAAACUUUAUAAAACUGUAUUAUAGCCCAAAACGUUAUGAAAAUUUUUAAAUAUGUCCAAUUUCAGAAUUUUUAAAUAAUGCUUUGUCAAUCCCAAAACUUUUUGAAAUUAUGAUUUCACCCAAACUAUGUGAAUUAUAGAAUGACUCAAAAUAUUUAAAUAGUUUCAAAUAGGUCUAAAUUCGAAAUUUAAAACACUAUCAAAGAUUUUAAAAUACUUUCAUUUUAGUCCAAAAUACUUUAAUUCCAUAACAUCAUUUUCUUAUUAUAAACAAUUCAUAAAUCUUUACUUAAUUAAUACAUGUAGUUUGUUAUCAUCAAAAUCAAUAUUUAUAGGCAUAUAGGCUAACAAUCUCCCCCUUUUUAUGAUGACAAAACACAUUAUAAAAAAUUUAAUCUAGUUAUGAAAAGCUCCCCCUUAAUCAAUGCAAGUUAAAAAAAAUUGAUUUGAAAAUUAUUUAACAAGACUCCCCUUGCAUACAUGCAUACUCCCCCUGGAUACAUGUAUAUUUUCAUAAUACUUUUUAUAACACAUAUUAAAUUAUUCUCCCCCUUCAUCAUAAAAAAGAAUAAAAGCUCCCCCUAUCAAUCAUCAGAGUCGCAACACAAGCACAUUAGUUAAAAAAAAUAUCCAUAAGCAUAAGGAAAUCCAUAUAAUCCAUAACAAACAAUCAAAACAAAUCCAUAUUAUCCAAAACAAAUACAUAAUCCAAAAGCAUAAUAACCAUCCAUAUAGUCGAAAAUAAAAGAACAUAAUGCAGUAAAUGAAAUGUAGGUGUAUCCAAAUACAAGCAUAAGAGACUACUGAGGUGGUGAAGAUGGUGGUGAUGGAGGUGGAUACGGAUAUGGAAUGCCAAAGUGCUCAAAGAGAAGUUGCUGUCUAUGAAUGAGCUGCUGCUACAGCUGCCGCUGCUGCUGCUGAAACUCAGUCAGCCGCUCCGAGAGUGUCCGCACCUCAUCCAUAAGCUGCUGAAGAGUAACCUCUUCAGAGGUGGGAAGCUGUGGAGGUGAUGAAGCGGAUGCAGAGGCACCAGGAGCUGAAGGAAUCAUGGGAGGAUCUCGGCGUCUACGCUACCCUCGAAAUGAGAGUGAGAAAACGGGUAGCUGAUCGGCUGGAACCACAACAUUAAGUGGCCGAUCAUCACUUAGAGCAAGAAAGGUAAACUUGUUCUCAGUGUAUUUGACCUAAGUGCCAUUUUUCCACUUAAAGCCUAAGCCGAAAAUAACAUCAUCCCUAAUACCCUGGACGGUCUACAUGAUGGUUCUUGAAUCGGCACAUCAAAAUAUUUAAGGAUUCAGGUAAUGAAGUGACCAUAUGGAAGGGAGCGGGUAAUCAAGGCAGGUAUGGUCAACAUGGUUCGGAUAAUGGUAUAGCCCAAGUUAACUGGACGACGUCUAAGAAUACAGUCAAUCAAAGCAACAUCCAUGUGAGAGACCUCAUCCAAAUGCCCUAAUCUAAGAAGUACAAUGGACUGAAUAAUGCGAAGCAAAAUGCGAGUUUGAAGACAAAGACACUGAGUGCGGAAGUGAAUGGUACAAUCCUCAACAGAAAGAUCAUUACGCUGACAAAUAUUAUGAACGACGUCAACAUGAACAUAACUAUCAAGUUUAGGAGAUUUCCAAGGCGAAUAAAGGCCAAAAUCGGAUGAUCCUAGGAUAGAGUUUAACAGGGAAACAUCAAAAUCAAUCAUAACUCCUCCGACAUUGGUGAUUACUUGAGUCUUAUUCUCCUCGGAAACUUCCAUAUUCGAGUAAAACGCUUUCACCAAGUCGGGAUACAAAGUCUCCUCAAUCAUAAGUGCAUCAAUUCAACUAACAUCUCCCAAUAAUUGAAAUAAAUUUCUAUGACUAAUAUUGAGAGUAUGCAUCACAUCCGGUAAAACAUAAAACGUAUUGAGUACCUCACGAGUUCUAAAGAUUUGUUGAAACCGUUUGACUAAAUGUUUCUUGUUCUGAAAGUGAGUGGACUCAAAAUUGGAUUGAUUGGAGGUGCCCCCUGCUUGCCGUGACCGGUUGGUUGGUUGAACCGGUUCUUUGCCUUUUCUUCGAACCGGCUGUGAGCUUGACAUUGGAAUUUUGAUUGAUUUGAAGUUGAAAAAGACAAAGAGAAUGAAGAUGAUGAAGAUUGAAAGUGAUUUUGAGAAGCAAUUUGGAUAAAAAAUGGCUUGAGAGUGAGAAACUUAGAGAGAGAAAAUUCGGCUGAAAAACCUAGAUUGAAUUUGGGAACUAGAGAUUUAGAUGUUGAAAAUGGAGUUUGAGGAUGAUUUUGAGUAAAUGAAGUGAUGGGGAAUGAUUUUCGUGACUCAAAUUGUUCCGAAAAAGGAAGAGGAUGAUGGAUUUUGGAGUGAGAUAGAGUGAGGAACAAACAGUUUUUAGAGAGAGAGAGAGAUCAGGUUGGCCGAAUGAGAGGGAGAAGAUGAACAGUUGAUAUAGCUCUCGAAUGGCUGGAUUUCACUAACUGGCUAGCCGGUUAGUGACCAGAAUCAUAAAAGCCGUAAACGGCUUGCCAGAUACUCUAUCCGGUUUUCCGGAUAGCUUUCAAAAUGGGUCAAACAUGCAUUCGGCUUACCGGUUCGAAUAACCGGUUGGCCAGUUUUGAGUCAGAACAUGGCUUCACAAAUUCGACUUUCCGGAUUUGAAGAAUCGGUUAGCCGGUUGUGAGGCAAAAUCAUGUAAACCGUAACCGGUUUUCCGAAUUUGAAGAACCGGAUGUCCGAUUUUGAGGCAGAGAGGAAGCUUAGCAAAUCCAGUUUUCCGGUUUGAAUAACCAGAUGACUGGUUUGCAUCCAGUGAUCUCCAGAAUACAUCCGGCUUUCUGGUUUGAUAAAUCCGGUUAUCCGAAUGUUGACCCGAGAGCAACCAAAGCUAAUCCGGUUUACCGGUUCGAUAAAUCCGGUUAUCCGUAAUUUUUUUUUUCUAGAGGAAUCAAAAAGAAAGCAGUUUUUUGGAUGAGAGGAAGUGGAAUACCGGUUUAGACUUGGAAAUCUUUUUGUCUCUAAUUGAAUUUUGGCAAGCUCUUAUACUUGUAUUACACACACCAUUUUAUUUUUGGGUUUUAAAAUUGAUUAAUUUUAAAUCAUUUGAGAUUUAAAACUUUUCAAUAAGCCAUUUAAUGCAUGAAACAUAAAAUCAUAAAAUUAUAAGCAUAUCAAGCUAUCUAAUUCAUGAAGCAUAAAUCCAUAUAAUAACAAACAUAUCAAGCCAUGUAGUAAAACAUAAGUCAAGAUGCAACAUUUAUCAUUCCAAGCUCAUGUCUUAUCUUUACAAAAUGCUCUUCGCUAAGAGGUUUUGUAAAGAUAUCCGCAAGCUAAUUUUUAGUAGAAAUAAAUUUAAUUACAACAUCUCCUUUUUUAACAUGAUCUCUAAGGAAAUGAUGUCUAAUUUCUAUACGCUUAGUUCUAGAAUGUUGAAUGGGAUUCUUGGAAAGAUUUAUAGCACUAGUAUUGUCACACAAGAUAGGUAUUUGAUCAAGUUUAAUACCAUAGUCUCUAAGGGUUUGUUUCAUCCAAAGAAUUUAUGCACAACAACUACUUGUGGCAAUAUAUUCUGCCUCGGUGGUUGAAAGCGCAACCGAGUUUUGUUUCUUACUAAACCAAGAGACGAGAGAAUGGCCUAGGAAGUGACAUGUUCGACUAGUACUUUUUCUAUCAACCUUAUAUCCAUCAAAAUCGGCAUCCGAAUAACAAGUUAAGUUAAUAUGAUUUCCCCUUGGAUACCAAAGGCCAAGAUUAAUAGUGCCAAUCAAAUAUCGAAAAAUGUGUUUGACAGCAAGCAUGUGUGACUCUUUAGGAUAAGAUUGAAAUCUAGCACACAAGCAUACACAAAACAUAAUAUCAGGCCUACUAGCAGUCAAGUAGAGUAAGGAUCCGAUCAUACCUCGAUAUGUCUUGAUAUCAAGUUCCUUACCUUUCUCAUCAUUGUCCAGCUUAAUGGUAGUACUCAUUGGAGUGCUUUUUGCCGUUCCAUUAUCAUAGCCAAAUCUUUUGAGUAGAUCCUUCACGUACUUGGCUUGAUUUAUGAAAAUUCCUUCCUCGUUUUGUUUGAUUUGGAGUCCAAGGAAGUACUUCAACUCUCCCAUCAUACUCAUCUCAAAUUCUUUGUUCAUACAUGAUGAAAAAUCUUUACACAACAACUCAUUAGUAGAACCAAAAAUAAUAUCAUCAACAUAAAUUUGAACAAUAAGUAUAUCUUGGUUCUUAUGCUUAACAAAUAAGGUUGUGUCCGCUUUUCCCAUCGAAGAAUCGUUAUCCAACAAGAAGUUUUUAAGCUUAUCAUACCAAGCUCUAGGUGCUUGUUUUAGUCCAUACAAAGUCUUAGAUAACUUAUACACAUGAACUGAAAAUUUUUCAUUUUCAAAACCAGGAGGUUGUUUCACAUAAACUUCCUCCAUAAUAGAACCAUUUAAGAAAGCACUCUUGACAUCCAUUUGAUAUAAAAUAAAAUCCUUAUGACAUGCAUAUGCUAACAACAUCAUAAUGGAUUCUAACCUUGCUACAGGUGCAAAAGUUUCAUCAAAAUCAAUUCCUUCUUCUUGGUUGUAACCUUGAGCCACUAAUCUAGCUUUAUUUCUUACAACCACACCGGAUUCAUUCAUUUUGUUUCUAAAUACCCAUUUAAUGCCUAUAAUGGAUUGAUGUUCUGGAUUAGGAACUGAUUCCCACACAUUGGUUCUCUCAAGUUGAUUCAACUCCUCUUGCAUUGCCAUAAUCCAAGAUUCAUCAUUUUCCGCAUCCGCAAAGGAUUUUGGUUCAAUUUGUGAAAUAAAUGCAACAUGCUCACAUGUGUUCCUAAGAGAUGAUCUAGUGGCAACACCUCGUGAGGGAUCUCCUAAAAUUACAUCCUUACGGUGAGAGGAAACAUACCUCCACUCCUUGGGGAGUGUUUGAAAAGUACCUUCAUUUUGCUCUACAUUUGUUUCUUCAUGAUGUUCCUCUUGAAUUCCAUGUGGUGCGUCUUUUUGGUUGUCAUUUGAUGCUUCUUCUUGUUGUUCUUCUUCUUGUUGUUCUUCUUCUGCAUUAUCAUCAACAAUGACUUUCUCCGUAGAGGAGGGGUAAGACUCAUCAAAUGUAACAUGCAUAGAUUCUUCCACAACUAAAGUUCUUUUAUUAUAAACUCUAUAAGCUUUGCUUGAAUUUGAAUAACCAAGAAAAAUAGCAACAUCAGAUUUUGGAUCAAAUUUACCAUGAUUAUCUUUUGUGUUCAAAACAAAACAUUUGCAUCCAAAAACUUUAAAAUAGCCAAUGUUGGGUUUUCUAUCUUUCCAAAGCUCAUAUGGAGUUUUAUUGAGAUUAGGUCUAAUCAACACACGAUUCAAAACAUAACAAGCGGUGUUGACGGCUUCGGCCUAAAAAUACUUAGGCAAAGAAUUUUCAUUCAACAUGGUCCUAGCCAUUUCUUGAAUAGACCUAUUCUUUCUCUCUACUACUCCAUUUUGUUGUGGAGUCCUAUGUGAUGAAAAUUGAUGUUCAAUGCCAAAGUCAUUACAAAAAUUUUCAAAUGCAUGAUUUUCAAAUUCUCCACCAUGAUCACUUCUAAUACAAGUAAUAGAAUAACCUUUUUUAUUUUGAACUUUUUUAUAGAAAAUUCGAAAUGUAUCAAUGGCAUCAUCCUUAUUAGCUAAGAACAAUACCCAUGUGUAUCUAGAAUAAUCAUCUACAAUUACAAAUGCAUAAAAUUUACCACUUAAACUAGCAUAUCUAGAAUGUCCAAACAAAUCUAUGUGAAGUAAUUAAAGUGGUUUUGAAGUAGAGACAUGAUUCUUGCUUUUGAAGGAAGUUUUGAUUUGUUUUUCAAAUUGGCAAGCUUCACAAAUUCUAUUUUUUUGAAAACUGAUUUUUGGAAGACCUUUAACCAAAUCAUUUUUCACGAUUUUUGAAAUCAAAUCCAUGCUUGCAUGACCUAAUCUUCUAUGCCACAACCAACCAUCAUCAUGCAAUGCGGAGAAACAUUUAUCAUUUGUCGAUGCACAAUCUAUAUUAAUGGUAUCACAUUAACACAUCUAUUUCCUACAAACAAAACUUUCCCAUCACAUGCAUUCUCAAUAACACAUUUUUAUUCAUCAAAGAUAACUCUAUAUCAUUUAUCACAUAAUUGACUAAUACUAAGCAAGUUGUGUUUCAAGUUUUCAACCAAACACACAUUUUCAAUGAGAGUGGAGGAUACAUUACCGACAUUUCCAAUGCCAAUGAUUUUUCAUUUUGAAUUAUCUCCAAACGAUACAUCUCCAUUAUUUUCAAUCUUAGUAAAAUUUGAAAACCAAGAAUAAUUCCCUAUCACGUGUCUUGAACAACCGUUGUCCAAGUACCACUUAUUCUUCUUAUUCUUCAAGCCCUCAUUAAGUUCAUCACAUGAUUCUUCCCCAAAGGCCAUGAGAGCUAAAUGUGUCAUUUCUUGUUGUUCAUCAUCAUCACUUGUUUCCUCAUCGCUAUCAUCCCAUGUGGCCACCAUAGCUUUCUUCUUGAGUUUGUUAAGAAGAGGACAUUCCGGUCGUAUGUGUCCGAGCUUCUUGCAUUCAUAACAAGUGAUUGGCUCUUUCUUCUCCUUCUUAUUGUUGUAGCCUCUGAACUUUCUCUGCUCAUUAUUCUUCUUGUAAAAUAUUCUGAAUCUUCUAGCCAACAUUGCCAACUCCUCAUCAUCCAUUUCACUUUCCUCAUCACUCUCACGUUUUGAAGCCUUGAGAGCAAUGUUUUUCUUUUUUUCCUCAUACCAUUUUUCCACUGCCAAAUCUUCUUUAUAUGAAAUGAGAGAACCAAUCAAAUCAUCAAUAGGUAAUACAUUUAAAUCUUUGGCUUCCUCAAUGGUAGUCCUUUUUGGUCUCCAUUCCUUAGGUAGCGACUUAAUGAUUUUCUUAACUUUCUCGCUAUUUGAAAAUGUCUUUCCUAGGGCUCCUAGAGUGUUUACUAUGUCCGUAAAUCUAGUAUACAUAGAGUACACAUUCUUAUUUUGUUCCAUUUGGAACAAUUCAUAUUGUUGAGUGUACCUACUUAUUUUAGAUUCUUUCACUUGGUUCGUGCCUUCAUAGCCAACUUCAAGUUUGUGCCAAAUUUCAUUAGCACUUUCGCAACUAGACACUCUAUGAAACUCUUUCUUAUCUAGUGCACAAAACAAGACAUUCAUAGCCUUGGAGUUUAGAGAAGCUUUUCUCUUUUCGAAUUCAUUCUAUUUCCGUGAAGGUUUUGGAAUAUCUUCCCCGGCUUCAUUUUUAUGAAAUGACCCUCAUUAACGAUUUCCCAACUUUCAUAAUCCAAGGCUUGCAAGUAAAUUCUCAUCAUAGUUUUCCAAUACGGGUAAUCGUUUCCAUCAAAGUAAGGUGGUCUAGUGGUGGACUGUCCUUCCCUAAAUAUGGAAUCAUUUUGAGUUGCCAUUGAUCUUUAGCUCUAGACGGUUAAGUCUAAAUAAGAGCACCUUACUCUGAUACCAAAUGAAAUAUAAGUGUGCAACCCAAGUGGGGGGGUGAAUUGGAAUUUUAAAAAUUAUCCUAGCAAAUCCACACAAGCAAUCUAAUGUCUUAAUAAAAAUUGAAAGCAAUAAGUUCAAUAAAAGUACAAUAACAAAUGAGUAAGGGAGAAGAGAAACAAACACAUGAAUUUUUACGUGGUUCGGCAAUCCUCACCUACGUCCACCCCUCUAAGCGAUCCAAGCUUGAGGAUUUCAUUAUCCGAGCCUUUCUAAGGCUUCAACCGUUUACAAUUGACUUCAAGGUGUCAAUGAACCUUUACAACAAAGAGAUUAUCUCCCAAUCUCUUCACUCAAGUGUCUCACACACUCAAACUCUUACAAUUAAGAUGAAGAAAUGAAAGUUACAAUAAAACUCACUCAAAGAGUAGAUAUUCAAAAAUGAAGAACAAGAGAUGAUUUAAUGUUUUGUGAUUUGCAAAUUAAAAGCUCAAGAUAUCUCAUGUGCUUUUUGUUUAUGCUUGCUAAAGAGCUUGAAAAUGAAUUGGAUUUGAGUUUUUAUAGUUUGAGCUAAAAAACUAGCCGUUAUGCACAUUUUGGUCAUAACCGGCUUGCCGUUUAGGAAUCCGGUAAGCCACUUUUAUGUUACCGUUAAGGCAAAAAUUUGAAUUUCACAAUAUCCAGCCUGCCGCUUUUCAUAUCCGGAUAGCCGCUUUUGAAAUCCGAAUUGCCGCUUGUGAAAUUCGAAUAGCCAUUUAUGCUCCAGAAGCUUACUACCCAAAAUUCAGAUUGCCGUUUACCAUAUCCAGCUAGCCGAUUGCUACAGUAACUGCUACAGUGAAAUUUUUUUAAAAUUAUAGUUUGACCCCAAAACUUUAUAAAACUAUAUUAUGGCCCAAAACGUUAUGAAAACUUUCAAAUAGGUCCAAUUUCAUAAUUUUUAAAUAAUGCUUUGUCAAUCCCAAAAUUUUUAAAAUUAUGAUUUCACCCAAACUAUGUGAAAUUAUAGAAUGACCCAAAAUAUUUAAAUAGUUUCAAAUAUGUCUAAAUUCGAAAUUUAAAACACUAUCAAAGAUUUAAAAAUACUUUCAUUUUAGUCCAAAAUACUUUAAUUCCAUAACAUUAUUUUCUUAUUAUAAAAGCACAAUUCAUAAAUCUUUACUUAAUCAAUACAUAUGGUUUGUUAUCAUCAAAAUCAAUAUUUAUAGCCAUACAGGCUAACAUCUUUUUCUUUUUUAGUAGGUCGUUUUCUUUCUUUCUCUGAAACCAAAUGUGCCUCUCUCACUUUGAAAUCCUUCAUUUCUUCAAUUUUUAUGCCAAAUCAAGCCUAGGAAAUCAUCAUACUUUAUCUCUAGAUCAAUUUGAUCCACAUUUCAUCAAUUUUUAAUAAAUUGAAAUUUCAAAUCACUUUCAAACAUCAUUUGCUUCAGUUUAAUCGGUUCAUUUUAAGGAUUUUUCAUUUAUGUGUAGUCUAAGUAGACAAACUGGAAAGGGAAAGGAGAAAGGCAAACAAUCGGCACCCGAAUCAAAACGAGCACGACAUGAUGAUGAUGAUGAUGAUGAGUACCUUGAUUUCGAGUCAACACACUUUCCAACAGCACUAAUGGCCAGCCAUUUCUUCCUCAAGUUUAUGCCGCCUACGGUACUUCCUUUUUAUUAUGUAGAAAUGGCUUACAUGACUUCUCUUAGAAUUUAUAAUUAAAAUUUGAAGGAAUUGUUGGAAAUAGUUGGUUGGGCUAAUGCUUUAAUUAUUGAGGAGAAUGUGUACCCAGACUUAGUUAAGGUGUUUUAGUCGAUUAUGGAUAAUUUUGCAGAAUGUCAGAAUUGAGUAAUAACUAACGUUGGUGGUGUUCCCAUAGAAUUUGGUGUAGGUGAUUUGAAUUCUAUCUUAGGGACUCUAGGUGAUGGUCUUAAACUGUAUACUUCUAGGAAAGCUCUAGUGUUUUCUAGUCAAACAUAUGUAGAUGUUGUUAGGAACAUUUGUGGGUGUGUUGAUUCAACUGAUAAUAUUAGUAACAUCCAUCUCUGUGCCUAUUGUCUGUGUUUAUAGUCUCGUGUUAUAUAUAGCAUACUUUAGCAUGUUGUCACUACUAGGAAGUGGCAUGCAGAAUAGAUCACUCGUUUAGAUGUAGCUUUGAUAGAUUCUUUGUUAUGGGGUCGUUCGGUUAAUGUUGGAUACACUAUCAUUCAUCGUAUGCUUAGUAUUCCUGAGGUCACUAACCACUCCUUUCCAUAUGAUAACUUUAUAGCUAUGAUUCUUAGGCAUUUUAGAGUGCCCAUCGACGAACCUACUUUUGAGCCCACUAAACAUUUAAGGGAUGAGGCCAUAUGUAGUUUGGGAUAUGACUGCAUGAAUAAACAAUGGGUGAAGACUUUCAAGAAUAAGUAUACUUUGAUUACUCUUGACAACCAGCAUACACUCAACGAUGUCAUACCUCCCAGUUAGUAGCCUAAUUUUUCUUCACCACUACGACCUCACGGUAAACAUAUAAAUCCACAUCUGCCUGCACAUGGUCCAGACGUAUCUACUUCUACCAUACCUACUUCAGACACACAUACUUCCAGAGAGGUUACUCUUCAAUAAUUGCUUAAAGAGUUAGGACACUCUCUGUACAACAAAACAAGCUUUCAACAACACAUUUUUGACGAGCAUCAGCAUCUCUUCAAGUAAUAGCAAUAGAUACCUAAUGGCCAGCGACUUUCAUUUGAGCAUCUUGGUGUUCCCUAUCCAUUUUUACCACCACGAUCAACCCAAUAGCUCAUAUUUUAUGUUCUAUUUUUGUAUUUUGCUCUGACACAACAAAAUUUUUAUCAUUAUCAUUAUCAUGUGCGAUGGAUAAUAUUUUUUUUAUUAGAUAUUGUUGAUACUGCUUGGUUUAGACACUUUGGUUCAAUGCUUAUUGAUGCUUGUCUUGAGUUUUUGAUGAUUGAUAGGGGGAGUUCACUUAAACUUUCGGGCAUGAUAUUGGUUCUAUCGUGGUAAUUUUUCUACUCUCUUUUUACAUGUUAGUCUUUUUUAUGAUGAAGAGGACAUAGUAUAUGUAUUUUGAAGUAUUAAGCAUACAUUUUUGAAGUUGUGAGUACUUUGAAAUGUUGAGAAUAUGUUUUUAAGUGUUUUUUGUGGAAGUGUUGAGCAUAUGUUCUAUUUUGAAGUGCUUGUGUUGAGAAUACAUUUAGGAUAAACAAUUGUAACACACACACACACACACUUGCAGGGGUAGUUUUAAAUUUGAAAUUUGUUAGUCCAUUUGAUUUUUGUAACAUAUGCAUACAUUCAAGGGGUGCCCUUAUAAAAGUUAAAAAUACAUAACGUGUUUUGUCAUAAGAAAUGGGGAGAUCAUUAAACUAUAUGGUUAUAUAGCAUUUCAAUUUUGAUGAUAACAAACCAUGAGUCAUGGGUAAAAUAUGAAAUAUACAUAUUCUUUUAUUUUGUUUUUAAAACAAGAAAAUGAAUGUUGAAUUUUCUUUUAAAAGUUCUUAAAAUUGCUUUCUUUGUAUUUUCUAGAGGAAAAUUCUAUCAUGUGAAUAUAAUUCCAAAUUCUCGGUAUAAGCACGUUUCUGUAAAAGUUUUUUAGAUAGAAAUUCAUUUCUAUGCUCAAACGGUAAUUCGCUAUAAUCCAAAUAGUAAGCCGAUUAAAUUAAAACUAGCUUCUGGACAUAAUCGGCAUAUUGCUAAAUGGAAAGUGACAAACCGAUUGCAUUAAAUUAGCUCUCUAGAAUCAAAUGGUAAACCGAUAAAGCUGAAGCGGCAAACCAAUUGCAUCAAAUUAACUCUCUAGAAUCAAACGAUAAACUGAUAAAGCUAAAUCGGCAAACCAAUUUCAUGAAGAUGAUUUAUUGAAAUCAAGCGGCAAACUGUUUUCUUAAAGUAGUAAACCACUUAAGCAAGAAUUUCAAAUUUUAGCCAUAACUGUAAGUGCCACAUAAGCAAAUGGUAAACUGUUUACUGGGAAGUAGUAAACUGAUUAUACCCGAAAGUCAACAACGGCUAGCUUUAUUGUUCAAUCUAUAAAUAGCAAAGAAAAGCACUUUUGAAAUAUGAAUUUUUGGCUAUUUUUAUCAAAGUUUAAAGAGUCUUGAGCUUUUAUUUGCUUAUAUACAUUCAUUGAAUCUAUGUUUGAGCUAUCAUUUGUAAAUAUACACUUGUGAAAGUGCAUUUCUUGUAAUUUGCAUUUCAAUAUCAAAAUUAAGUGAUUGUAAGUGUGAGGAAACACUUGGUGAGAAAGUGUGGGAUCAUCUUUAAUUGCAAAGGUUUAUUAACACCUUGGAAGUCAAUUGUAAACUUCUUGAAGCCUUAGAUUCUAAGUCUUCAAUAGUGGAAUCUUCAAUCUAGGUUUGCUUGGAGGGUGUUGAUGUAUGCGCGUUUUGCCAAACUACAUAAAAACUUCGUGUUUGCCUUCUCUCCCUUAUCUUUUUAAACUUAUUCAUUGUUAUAUUUACUGUUAUUGAAUCUCUUAAGGAAUUAGUUUAAAUUAUUUUGUGAUUUCAUUUGUUUAAUUAAAAAAAUAUUCACCCUCUCAUGGGUUACUUGACUAGAAUUUCAAGAGCAAAUCCACUAGCCUAAGAAAAUAAAAUACAGAAAUUGAAUUAACAUACUAAAAUAUAACUCUAGUAAAAUCUAAUCAAUAAAAAUUGAAACACUUGCUAAAAUAAUUGUCGUGCAUCAUUCCUUUAGUAGUAAAAGAAAACCCAUCAUUGAGUUUGAGUGCAAUUUGGAGCAUUGAACUUGUAGUUAAGCAUCAAUUCCUCUUGAUACUUGAACCCAUAUCCAUUGUUGUUUAUCUUCCUUGAAAUUUGAAAAAGCCAUAUUUCAUCUUCUUUUUACAUUUGCUCAUGACAUUUAUAGAACAUGAAAUCUUAGACAAAUGAAAAACCAUUAAGCCUAUCAAGACUUUCACCAAAUCUCUCUCAAUAACACCUGUUAAUUAACUUUAUCCUUGAACCAAAUCUUCUUCAAGUAGAACUUUAUGCCUUCAAUGUAUAACCAUAUUGAUAAUUGGUUGUGACAUUUCAACUUGAAUUGGCUGCACAAACUCAAUCAUAUUGUAGGUUAAAUGCUCAAAUCAAGAGUAGAAGUUACCUCUUCUUUUAUAAUUAUAGACACAUCUCAAUCACUUCCUCUUAGGAAAUGAUUUGUGAUAGUUUAAAAUAAAGGAACUGAUACAUGGCUGAUGGGAGUUCUUGAUGGUAAUAAAUGUGCGAAAUCAUAGUUAAAAUAAAUAGAUGAUUGUUUGAAAGUAAACAGAUUACCAUUUAAAAACAUAAACUCAAGAAAUAAAACAACACGUUAUCGAUUCACCAAUUCAGAAUAAUGGAUUACCGAUUAAAAACAGAGAGGUUGUUUGUGUUAACAGAUAACCAUUUAAGGUUAACGGAUAACUGUUUUUGCUCGCCGUUUUCAUGCGAUAAAACAUUAUUCCUAGGUUUUCUUUUUCGUUUUCCAAUUGCCACCUCAUCAUUUUCUCUCUACCGAUGGCAUCCAAGCCUUAUUUCCAUAAAAUUCUCACUUUUCUUGCAUUUUCUAGCCAUAUUGAAGUUAUAGAAUUAUUUAUAAUCACUUUUAGGACAUUUCUAACUGAUCAAAACAUCAUUUCAAGCCUAAAAUCUCAAAACCCCAAUUUGAAACCCUAGUGAUGAACUAAACCGUUUUCUUUAAUUUUUGUUGGUUUUUCGUCACUUUUCACCAAAUUGAGCAUCCAAAUCACUUCUUAUACCCUUUAUAUUCAUUUUAAUUGGUUCAAUUUUUUAAUUUCAUCAAGUUUCAAAAAUUCCCAUUAUUGCAUCCAUAUCAAUAUCUGAAACCUCAAGGACAAAAAAAAAAAAAAACAAGCUGCAAGGAGGAACACAAUACCUCAUAGGGAGACUUAUGACUUUGAGAGAAUCCAUUUCUCCACUACUCCCUUGGCCAAAUGCUUCCAAACUCACUUUAUAGGUCGUAAGGUAAUUAAUUCUUACUUUGUGGAAUUGGAUGAUUUUGAGAAGUUGGUUCUGUGUGGUAGAAGUUUAAAGGCGUUGUUGGAACCUUGGGAGAAGGCUUCCAAUACUCACUCAUUGUUAAAAAGAAAUUCUUUUAGAUCUCUUUGAAGAAAAAAUAUUUAAGAGGCGCUCUUCAUCUUAGAGCCUUAAUUUUCAUGAAAGUUUGGUUUCUCUCCAACUAAAGUAUAUGUUCUAAAUAAGAUAGUAGAUUUACUAUUUUUCAUGUCGCGAAGUUUGUUAACCCAUAUUUGAUGAUAUCAUUUUAUUAAUAAUAUAGAUGUGAAUUAUGUUAACCCAUACUUUUUUAUUAUUGUUUUACUAAUAUGGAUGUAAAGUAUGUUAACUCAUAUUUGAUGUCAUUAAUUUACUUCUAAUAUGGAUGUGAAUUAUGUUAACCCAUAAUAUUUGUUAUUAUUUUGUUAAUUCAUUUAUUAUAUUAUUGUUGUAUGAUGGUUAAAUAUAAUCUAUAAUAAUAGCAAGUUACAAACAUCUAUUGCCUCAAAUAACCAUGAAUUGACCUCAUUAUAUGAUCAAUCAACUGAGUCCACAAAGAAUGAGGUUUUAUUAGCAUCAUAUGUACUUGGCACUUAUUUCGACUCAGUAAAUGAUACAUAAUUAUGGUAUAACAAUUAUGCCUGAAUAAUUGAUUUCGAUGUGAAGAAAGAUGACAUACGACAUAAAGGAAAAAUGUCUAGAUGAAUCAUAAUUCAUCGGUAGGUUUGUCAUAUGGAAAAGCUUAAAGAUGGAAAAUAUGCUCAAAAUUAUAGUAAGAUGCAAGAACCAUGACUAAUCACACUACUGGUUAUCGAGCAUGAUUCAAGUGAAUUAUGAUGAAUUUGUUAGUAAAUACAUUGUGAAAGAAUCCAGGUCUGGAUAUAGCCAUACUUUGGCUUUUGCUAAGGAAGUCCAUCUUAUUCAUUCACAUCAGAAAGUUAAAGAUAUGGAACUUGCGUAAGCUAAGACAUUAAAGCAUAUUGGUGUUAAAAUGUGUCAAUUUAUAAAUUACAAGGCUAAUCAGGUUCCAGGGUAACACAACCUAAGGUGUACUCGCUGAGAUGUUCAAAUUACACCAGAUGUUUGGACUCGUGCUAAAGUUAAAGAUUUUGAUUCAAACAUAAUUAUAGUAUACUUUGCUAUAAAAGCUUAAUAUGAACUUGGGCUAUGUUUUGGGUAGACACUUGAUGAUGAAAAUAGGCUAUGGACUGAUUGUAUAACAUGUUAUGACUCUCAAUGUUUUGGUGAUGUUUUGGCAUUUAAGGCAAUGUACAAGAUUAAGUUAUAUCAAAAACCUCUCAUAACACUUGUUGGCAUAUGCUAUUAUCGUAGAAUUACAGUCUUCAUAUUCAUAUCGUUUACAAAUGAGAUAGUUGACUCAUACGUAUGGCUACUUCAGACUUUCUUGUCUGAUAUAGAUGUUGUGAAAAUUUUAUUGAACUUGCAAGUGCACGAAUCUAUUGUAGAAUACAUCAACAGUGACGAGUGUCGAUCUGUUAGUGUAUAAAUACUAAUGCUAUUGGUGUCAAUGUGCAAGUGUACACAACAAGUAAUAAAGUGAUGAGUAUUUAAGAUCGUCUCCAUAGGGAUUGAUGUUAUCAGAUUUGCUACAACAAUCUUAACAGUGCAUAUUUUGUGCUAAAAUAAAAUAAACAAUUAAUGAAACUAAUAUACUAAUUAAAAUAAAAACGUAAUAAAUAAAAUGCAACAAAGUAAACUAUUACGUCAAGCUCAAGGAUAAAACUAAUAGGAAUAUAUAGUAGUUGAGUGAAUAAACUCUUCUAAUGGUCUUGACUAUUUUCUAAUGGUUGGCUCGGUUGUUACAACAUUUGCUACAGCACUGGGCAGAAUCCUUAUGUAUCCUCAGUCGUCGCAUGUUGGAUAUCUUAUAUCUAUAUGCAACUUAACAGUGAUCAGUUGCUAUGCCAACAUAAGAUAUAACAUUACACGCUUAGGUUCUAUUUACCCUACAAGGUGAAUCCUUAUGUCUAGUUCAUCACUAAUCUUAAAUCAAGCAUGACCCUUUUGGGACUCAAGUAAAACUCAAUCCGGGAAACUAAAUUUAAGAUCAAGUGUUGUUUUGAUAUAUUCCACUAAGAUAGGCCCUUGUGCUGCUCUUCAUUAGCUAGUAUCAUUAAAUGGGUGAUCAACCGAAAUAACGAAUAAAAUAAAUACUAUCAAAACAAACUGCUCCAGUAAACAUGCAGCAACACAUAUUUCUAGUCAAUAAACCAUCAAGAUUGUUUAUCACUUAACCACAAAUAAAUUUAGUUCAUGGUUUGUAAAAGAAAAAUAAAGAACAAAGUUUCAGCCAUGAAACACAUCCCCAUAAAUAAAUAGAAAACGAGAAAGCAAGAGAAGAAUAAAAAUGAAUGAGCUCCCAAUUGAUUUCUGCAAUUUUCCUCUUGUGCAGCCCUUAAUCUCUCUCUUGAAUCUUGUUUUUCUUUUGUUUCUUUGUGGUUUUUCUCCUUGGGUGACGGUUCUCUCUAAUUCUUAUGAUGUGUGCUUCUUUUAUAGUUGAAAAUUAGGGUAAACGGAAGCGUAGGGCGUGCAUAAGUCAAAUUAGGAAACUGCAGAUCCCAAUUAUGUAAGUAUCCCGCACGAAAUUUUCUCUAUCGUUGUUCCAAGAUUGCUACAGCAACGGCUACAGUAAUGGUUGCUACAGCAACGGCUACAACAACUGCACUGUUCAAGAUUUGUUUCAAUUCUUUUAUAGCCAUGUUCUUCUUCCUUUUUGCCAGCCUAUUGCAUCAGCAUUCCUUCCAUGAAUUAUAAGCUUCUGGAAACCUACAAUUAUGCACAUAAUUUGAGCACAAAUUACUUUAAAUCAAGCAAAACUUAUUAAGACUAAACUAAAAUGAAUGUUUAUGCAAAAUGUAACAAAAAUGCAAUAAAAACACAUCAUUUACUCUCUAAGUGAUCUUGAUUUAAGUCUAGAAUUGCCAUAAUAACUCUCAUUUCAUAGAGUUAUCACACCCCCAAACUUAAAUCGUUACUUGUCCUCAAGUAAUGACAACAACACACACUCUAUAAUUACACAAUCAUGCAACAAAUAACUUAACUCUGUCAUCAAAUUUGCAAGGAUUCUUCCACCUUUAGACCACACUCUUAAUCAUACAAAAUUGCCAUAGUAGUUCAAUUCUAGACUUAGGCUUCAUUCUGUCCAAAGUGUGUAUGUGCCACUUUGAUCAAAUUCCAGAGGUGCUAUAAUAUUGCAUAAACUUUUUGUAUACAAUUCAGAGGUAGAACACAAAUAUAUUCACAUAUGGGGGAGCAGAACUCACAAUUAUAUUCAAACUGUGCUACAACAAUAAUAAUUUUUUUUCAGUUAAACCCUUCAAUGCAACAUUGAGCUUUCAUGUGAAUGCCUAUCACUUGUAAUGACGACACCCAAUUACUCAUUCAAAGUACAUGUCAGAUUUGCUACAGCAACGCAUUCAGGAUGUUAUAUCUAGGUCUUACCUUUGGAUGCCUUUGACUCAAGGCUGAACAUGGGGCUCAUGAACAGACCAGGUUACUCAGUAUCCUAGGCAGCAGACCUCUUUAUUUUUCAUUCUUUCAUCACCAAAUUUUUUUUUGCCUUUUUCUUUUGCUUUUUUAAUUUUUUUUAUAUAUAAUUGUUGCAGCACUGCUCAUAGCUCUUGUUUCCUUUGGACUCAAGUUUGCAUAUGGGGUGCAUACUCAACCCUGGUUACUCAGCAACUUAAACCAUUGGAGCAUAAUUUAUUUCAUAACAGGCACAAUCCAAUAAAAAUUUUCCCCCAAACUUGAGAUAUUUUCUACUCUUUUUUUUUUGUUUUCCUAGCUCUGCUACAGGAUUCUCAUAAAACUCAACCAAAGUCUAAGUGUCGAGACAUAAUUUCAACCUCCAUCUAUAACUAUCUCUACUUGGCAUUCUCAUGAAUACUAAAUAACACUCAAUUUAUCUUCAUUAGGUUUUCAAAUCCCUACACAAGUAUUAGAUAAUAGAGCUUCACACAACACACAACACAAGCAUAAACACAUGCACUCAGAAACACAACCCCUCCAAAUUUGAGUGGUGUUGUGCCCUCACAAGCACACAAAACAAAACCACAUAAACCAGAUAUGCAUACACUAAAUAAAAGGACAUGCAGAAUGAAUUAGAAAAUUAAAACUAAAUGAAAGAAAAGUUUUACAGCAAGAAGUAAAAUAAACUAGCGGUUAGGGGUACUGCCUUGUUUCUGGAAGCAUGCUGCAGCAUAGGUUGUAAAGGGUCACUUUUUCUUGGAUAUACUUCUCAAACACUCCUUAUCAUAAAAUCUGAUCAAUCCAUUUGCUGCUGCAAAAGCAAGAAAUGCCUAUGUUGUUUGAGAAUCUUCUGUUAUAUGUCAUGCAGUAAGUGAUGCUGCAGCAAUUCCUUCAUGCUCGUUUUUUUGUAUUUUUUUUGUUUUUUUUUUACCUGCUACAAUUUAACACAAAGACAUAAAAAAUUAGAUGCACACUUAAAAUAACAACAAGACAAAUUCAAUAAUUUAAAAACUAAAUUUAAUGCUUUAAAGAGUUAAAACAACUUCCCUUAUUGAGUUGCCUCCUAAUUAGCGCUUGAUUUUAGGUCUUUCAGCUUGACCUUUCUUGUUUCCUCAACCUGGAACCUUCACGAACCGAUCUUUCUUUAGGCUGUUCACAUCAUCUCCUAUAUAGUGCUUCACUCUUGGCCUAUUAACCUUGAAUUCUUGUUGGUCUGGAGUGAGUUUCUCGCUGGAUUUGCUCGUCAAUUCUUAAGGGUUGCUUCUCUCCUGACCAUGCUAUGUUAGCUGCUUCAUGAUCUUCAUCAUCAAGUUCUUCAAAUGUUACAGCAUUGAUUUCUUCCUUACUGCAGCAACUGUGUAAUCUCUCUGCUACAACAACGUCCACAACACUGAUAAAAUUACAAUCUUCAAUCUCAUCGGGACUCUUCAUGACAUCCAGCACAUUGAAUGUAACUUGCUGGUCAUUCACCUUCAUGGUUAAUUCUCCUUUUUGAACAUCAAUUAAAGUCUUUCCCGUGGCUAAGAAAGGUCUCCUUAGAAUGAUUGUCACUUCUUUGUCUGCCUCAAAGUCUAGCACAAUGAAAUCCACUGGAAAAAUAAAUUUAUCCACCUUCACCAACACAUCUUCAAUCUUUCCUUCUAGAUAUGCAUGAGAUCUGUCAACAAGUUGUAAAGUUAUUGUUGUUAGUCUACAUUCACCAACUCCCAAUUACUUAAACACUUAUAAAGGCAUGAGAUUGAUGCUAGCCCUUGAAUCACAAAGUGCUUUGCCACUGUAUUUAGUGCCUAUGGAGCAUGGGAUUGUGAAGCUUCCUGGAUCCUUUAUCUUCUGCGGUAUCUUACUCUGAAGCAUUCGGCUACACUCUUGUGUUAGAGCAACUGUCUCAAAUUUUCCAAGUCUUCUUUUCUUUGUCAAGAUAUCUUUAAAAAAUUUCGCAUAAUUUGGCAUUUUCUUUAGAGCUUCCACAAAAGGAAUAUUGAUAUGUAAUUGUUUCAGUACUCCCAAGAUUUUGCUGAAUUACUUAUCUUGUUCCUACUUUUGAAAUCUUUGAGGGAAGGGUGGUGGGUACCUAAACUACUGUGCUGCAACAUGUUGUGCAGACUGCUUUUCUUUUGUCAUGUUCUGGGUUGGUGCUACAACCUCGUUAUCCACAAGUGUUGGAUAAUCAUUUUUGGCAAAUGCUGCAGCUUGACUGCUCUCACCAGUGUGUUGUGACGUGGAGGAUUGUGACUCUUUUUCAAUUUGAGUUUCUUUCUAGAUUGAAGUGGGCUCAGCUCUUCUUUUUGGCACCCCAACGGGACUAUGAACAUCCUUUCCAAAUCUCAAGUUAAUCACUUUACAGUGCUCUUUCCCGUCUCUUUGUGGGUCCUCUGUAUUACUGGGUAAACUACCUUGAGGUCUGUUGCUCAAUGCUGUAGCAAGCUAUCCAAUUUGAUUUUCCAAGUUUCUCAACGAUACAGUAUGACUUUGGACAACUGCUUCAUUCUUCACAAUAUAAUCCUUAAUCAAACCUUCAAGGGAACUGAGUUGAUUAUUGUUGAUGCUUAUUUGCUCUUGAUUUUGUUGAUAAAAUCCACAAGGUUGAGCAAGUUUGUUCUGUCCACUGAAUGCUGCAGCAGGCUGAUUCUGAUUAUUCCAUGAAAAGUUCAGAUGUUGUCUCCAUCCAGGGUUGUAAGUGUUUGAAUAUAGAUUGUCUUAGUUCUGUCUAUUGAAGCUGCCCACAUAAUUGACUGAAGCUGGAUUCCCAAGACAAUUAUCAAAUAAGUGUCCCUCUCCAUAAUAAACACAAGAGAUCUCGGCAACUUGGUUUACAGUUGCUGAAGCAGUGGUCAUAGCUUUCACCAUAUUUGUUAAUGAGGUUACUUGGGCUGACAAUACUGUCAAGACAUCUACGUUAUGUACUCCUGCUAUUCCUCUUGCCGCAGCUUGUCUGGUUAAUGGCCACUGAUAGUUAUUGUUGGCUAUUCUCUCCAAAAUUUCAUAAGCCUCAUUGUAAGACUUAGAUAACAAGGUUCAAUUUGCUGAAGCGUCCACCAUCAAUCUAAUGCUUGGGUUGAGACCAUUAUAGAAAGUUUCCAACUGUAUACAGCAAGGAAUACCAUGAUGAGGACAUCUCCUGAGUAACUCCUUAAAUCUCUCCCAUGUACCACACAAGCUCUCAUCUUCAAGCUGAUGGAAAGAUGUGAUCUCAUUUCUCUCAAAAUUCUUCAUCUUUCACUCAUUUUCUUGUUAAAAUCAAUCAUCCAAAUCAUUAUUCAUCUAUUGCUCCUUCAAUUUUCGUUCUCAAAACUUCAUUUCAUCAACUCUCCACAUUAAACCCAAAAUCAAAAACCUAACUCUACCUGUUUCUCUCUCUACAUUUUCAAGCUUCCUUUAGCCCAUUUUUUAUCCAAUCUACAUCAUAUAUUAGCUUCAUUCAUCUCUAGGAUCAAUUUUCUUGGCUCAAACAAAUCCAUUUCACUCAAUUUUUGUAAACCCGAAAUUGCAUAUUUAAGCUCUUUUUAGUCCACUUUUGAUCCAAUCAACACCAUCCAUUAUCUUAAAUCAUCUCUUGGACCAAUAUAAUCGGUUUAAAAUCAUCCAUUUCACUCAUUAUUUUACAAAACCGAAUUUGUGUAUUUUGGGUAUAUGCACCUACAUUUUCAUAUGCAUAAUUAUGGAUUACGGAUGAUGAUUGUUUAAUAUUUGGAUAUGUUAUAUUUGGAUGAUGUUUUAUGCUUAAUUCUUAUGUGUUGCUUGAUGACUUGGUGAAGUUGUUGGUUUGUUAUAAUUGUUUAAACUUAUAUGGAAGUGUUUUUAACCAUGUUGUGUAUUUGAAGAUUUGUUCAUUUUAAGGGGAGACUAUGCCGAAAGUUUUUUUUGCUCGCACAAAAUUGGUAAUAUCUUUAUCGACUUAUUUUUUAUGCUCUUGUUUCGCUUGCAUCUAUCUAUUUUUUAUGAAAGGGGAGAUAAAUAUGACAUGUUUUUGGAUAAUAUCAUUUUGGUUAAAUUUUUUAAUUGGCCAUAUAUUUAGGAGGAGCAUACAAUAUGUUUUUGGAUAAUAUGCAUUUUGAGCAUUCUUUUGAUGACAUGAUGGUUCAUGAUAAUUUUAUGGUUAAUUGGAUGUUUGGUUAUUAUAUGUUUCUAGAUUAAUCAUUGACAUAUUAUCGGUCUUAACAUGAAUUUCUAGUAAUUUUGAUGAUGAAGGGGGAGAAGUCAUGUAUUUUGAAUAUGAAGACAUGUAAUACGUAUUUUUGUAUUUCAAGUAUUUAUGCAUGUUUUUGAAAUAUUAAGGGGGAGCUUUCAAAUUAUCAUAAAUCAAAUAUUUAAGGGGAUUUUUUGAUUUAUAUGUUUAAUUAUGUAUGCCAUGUAUUAAGGGGGAGUACAAAUGUCAAAAUACAUAAGAUGUUUGUCAUCAUAAAAAAUGGGGAGAUUGUUAGCCUAAAGGGCUAUACAUAAUGUAAUUUUGAUGAUAACAAACAUAUGUAUUGAGUGAUUUAAUAAAUAUUGUAUUUCAGAUUUUCACUAGUAUUUUAAGGAUAAUAUUUAUGCAAGUGAAUCAAAUGAAAUCAAGAUUAAAGACACUCAACGGAUAACGGCGACAUCAAGAAUAUCGUUUAAAGCUCAACGAAUAAAUUAGUGCGAUAAAUUCUUGUAAAGCCGGUAUGAUUUAAUUGAUGUUUGAUUUAGCAUUUGAGAAGCUUAAGAAAUUAAUUUAAUUAAAUACUUUUUAUAAACUAAAAGGUUUUAUUUUUAUAAAGUAAAGUAUUUUGUGGAUUUAAGUAAUUUGGACUUAAAUGCUAAGAUUUGAAAUCUUUGAUUUUAAAUAAGUAUUAAAUUUCAGAGUUGGAUGUUUUUACAAACAUUUGAAAUGUUUUGGGCCAUACUAUAAUUUAUGAAUAUUUUGGACUAAAGUGAAAGGUUUUGAGAACUUUAAAAAAAAUGGGUAUUAUGUUGAAAAGGACCUUUGUGCGAAACAAUAAAAUAUUUGGGGCCAUAUCAUAAUUUCAGAAAGUUUGGGAAAGACAACUAUUCUUAGGAAGUUCUGAAAUUGGACCUAUUUGCAAAGGUUUCUGACGUUUUGGGCCAUAGUAUAAUUAUAGAAAGUUCUGAGCCAAAGUGUAAUUUUAGUGAACAGUGUUACUGUAGCAAAUUCAAAAAUAACUGUAAUAUUACUGUUCCUGAGCGGCUAGCCGGAUAAUUAAGCGGCUAACCGCUUGAGCGCUGGAAUUUGCCUAUAACGGCUAGUUUUUGGGCUUUCACUAUAAAAACUCAACUCAAACUUCAUUUUAAGAACUAACACGAGCAAAUAUAAGAUCAUAUAACAUAUAUUGAGCUUCCAUUUCGUAAAUCAUCAUUUAUUGAAUCAUUAUUGAGCUAUAAUUUGUUAUCCACUCUUAAAGAGAGUUUCAUUAUUGUGAUUUUCAUUUCUCAUCAAUUUGUGAGUGUACAAGUGUGGGAAACACUUGGGGUGAAGAGAUUGGGGAUAUAAUCUCUUGUUAUAAAGGUUCAUUGACACCUUGGAAGUCAAUUGUAAACAUUUGAAGCCUUGGGAGGCUUGGAUAGUGAAAUCCUCAAGCUCGGUUGGCUUGGAGGCGUGGACGUAGGCGGGGAUAGCCGAACCACGUAAAAAUCCUUGUGUUCGUUUUCUCUUCCCUUACUCUUUUAAUAUUGUGCUUGAAUGAAUUUAUUGUUUUGAUUUGAUUAAGGCAAUAGAUUAAAUUGUUGUGCGAAUUGUAUUGCAUAAAUUUUUAAUAUCCCAAUUCACUCCCCCUCUUGGGUUGCAUAACUUGUAUUUCAUUAAUCUCUCCACCCUAUAAGAUGAACACCCAUGUCUAGAGUGUUACAAAUCUUAACUUCAAGUAUUGCCCUCAUAGGAUUUAAGAUGACCUAAUCUAGGAAACUCGACUUAAGAACAAGUAAUACUCUAAUAAUAUCCGCUAAGACAUGUCAUUUUGCUGCUCUAUCUUAACUAAAAAGUAGUUUUUAUGAAUACAACUGUCAUUUUGCUGCUCUAUCUUAACUAAAACUAUUAAAUGGGUUGUCAACCAAAAUAACAGUUGUAUUCAUAAAAACUACUAGAGUAUAAUGCUACAACAUUACCAUAACAACAUAAAAGAACAGUCAAGAACCCAUUGGAUUAUUUGUCAUUCAACCACAAGUAAAUUUAGUUCAUAAUCUGGAUGAGAAAAAUAAACAUAAAUAUAUUGAUCUCGGAAUACAUCCAAACAAUUCAAGGAAGAAGAGAAAAUAUAAGUUGAGCACGAUGAAAGACAAAUAAUUCUGUACGGUUCUUUUCUUUGUUUCCAAAUAUCACUCAUCAAUCUUGAUCUCCUUCUUCUUGCCUUUGUAAUUCUUUUUUAUGAUAAUUCCUUGCCGUCUUUCUAUGUGGUGCACGCCUCCUUUUAUAUUGCAAAUUAGGGUAAAAGACCCAAAGUCCAUGCGCAUGCAUACGUUUAAAUUAGGAAGCAUGCAGAUCGCGAUUUUAUAGCUGACCCACGCUUUAAGCUUUCUCCCGCAUUGUUCUCUGAUUGUUGCAGCACUGGUUGCCCUAGCAUCCACAACAGCACUACAUUAUUCUCGAUUGUUCUUGUCUUCUUUUGUGGCCAUCUUCUUUUCUCCUCUUGCUCAUCUAAUGUCUCAGCAUCCCCUUAUGACUUUAAAACCUACAAUUAUGCACUUGUUUUUAGCACAAAUUACUUUAUUUAAACAAAACUUAUUAAAACCCAACUAAAAUGAAUGUUUAUGUAAAAGGUAAUAAAAAUGUAAUAAAAACACCUUAUUUGUUCUCUAAAUGACCUUGAUUCAAGUCUAGAAUUGAUGUAAUAACUCUCAUUUCCUAGAGUUAUCAGUGCACUACAACUAUCGUGGGCUGAUUUAAGAGAAGAGAUGAGGUUGUGCUAUUUUCGUGGCUCGAAGGUUGUGUUGGCUUUUGUGGUGGGUUGCAAUGUCGUGGAACGGCAUGGCGGCAACUGUUUGUUUUCGAUUUGAGAGCUGAGUUAGGCUGCACUUGGUGUUACCGUGUUAGGGUUUGUGUUGUGGCUUUGGGAAAUUGGCAAUUGGGGAUUAGGUUUGGGGCAGUUGUUUGUUUGUUUUAGCACUUAACCCAAUCGGUUUAGCAAUUCGGUUCGAGUGAAUUCCAAAAUCAAUCAGUUUUGAAAGUUGAAUCUGUUCAGGUUUUAGGGUUAACCUGUACCGAACCGAAAACAGAAAUAAAAUUUGGGUUCGGUUCGAUUCGGGUUAACCCGAACCAAACGCCCACCCCUACUCCUGACCAUCACACAUCUCAACAUACAUAUCUAUUAUAAAAUAAUAAUAAUAAUAAUAAUAAAAUAAAUAAAGAAUGAUGCAUUUAGGAGAUGCAGGGAGCAAGGAGAGCAGAGAGGUAGAGAAAAAGCCAAUAGAGUAGAGCUAAGCCGAGACAUGAGACGAGAGAGCGAAGCUGAGGAAUUGUUUCAUUUUCUUCUUUUUCUUCUUUUGUUGUGUAAUCAACUUCCUUAUAAUAUAUUCCAAAAGUUUGUCAAAUAAUAAGAGUGUUUUGUUUUCUUUCAAUAUGAGUGGCUAAUUUUACUAAACUGAGGUGAAUGGUGAAGCUCAAGGUUUUAAAUCAUAAAAUUAAUUACUUUCUCAAGUGAGUUUUAAGUUUAUUUUAUUCUUUUCUGGUUAUUUUUAUAUCAUGUUAAUUUAUGGAUUUCCUUAUAUUUGUAUGGUAUUUUAACAUAAUGUCGACACAUUAAUAUAGUUUUGGCACAUUAGUUACUUGAUUCCAUAUUUAGCCACACACAUAACCAGUUAAGAAUUAAAUUAUAUAAUAAUUAACUGUUAAAAGUGAGGCAAAAUAUAAAAAUGAGAGAGUAUUAAAAUUAAAGUUUGAAUACGGAUAGUGGAUCUCGUAACCUUAGCAUAUUUUUAAAUUGAUUUUUAGCGAUUUCUUUUCUCGCAAUUAAUUUUCUUUGUUUAACAAAUUGAUAACUACAUUUUAAAUUCCAUGUGGUUCAACCCUGGACUCACCGAGUUAUAUUAUAACUAGACACUCUUAUACUUGGGAAUAAUACACUUUUGAGUUGUGUCAGCGGAUUUUACAGAACCAUAUAAAAAUUCAGGUGUUUAUUCUCUUCUCUCUUAUCUUUUUAAAUUUAUGCAUUGUUGAAUUUACUAUUAUUAAUUUUCUUAAAGCAUUUAUUUAAAAUUUUAUUGUGUUUUGUUAUUAUAUUUUUUUAAUACCUAAUUCAACCCCACUCUUAGGUUGCUAUGCUAGAAUUUCAAAAUUAGCUUCACGCAUUGUGUACAUAUAUGAACUAGACUAAGAAUGGUACAAACCUCAUUAUUUGUGAUGUCCCCAAACUUUUUCUGCCAUUUUAAGAAUUAAAGAAUUUUUUACUUAGCCUAUAUAGUUACAAGACAUACUAUUCUAUUGAUAGAACAAAGAUCAUAUAGAACAAUAGUAAAGUAGAACAAUUGUCCAUAAGAAAAUCAAUAUUUAUGUUAUACUAUUUUUCAUAUCAAGAUGUUAAAAUUUGGCAAAAUAAUUAUUACAUUUAAGAUUUGCUAAACAUACUUUUAAGAACAUAAGACAGCCAUUAACUGACUUCACCUGUUUCUUUUUAUACUUUCUUAUAUAGUCCAGUCCCAUAAAAAAUUAAAGCACCAUGUAGCCUAAUUUUUUUCCCAAUUGAUUGUACCUCAAGGUAUAGAGAUACAUCAUAUUAAUGUAAGUGGCACUUAUGGAACAUAAAAUCGCUCCUAGAAGACAAGAUAUUAUAUGGUUAAAAUCUUGUAAUAGACAACAUAUAAUUUAAACAAUCAAUUUAAUCAAUAAUGGCAUACAAAAUAAAAUAAAAAAACACAACAACAAAUAACAACAGAGAUUGUAAAAAAUUAUCCACAAAAUUCAGUGCAAUGGUAAUCAAAUAAAAUUUAGUUCAAGGCAAUAAACUAACCUACUUAAAUGAUUUUAAUAAUCCUAGAAAUCUCCAAACAAAACAUUGCUAACAAUAAAAAGUUUAAUAUUGGGGAGACUGAUUCUUUAUAUUAAGUACUAAAUUAAGUAUGCAAAUUUCACAUGUGGCAAUAUACACGUUUGUUGUGAAUAUUUGCAAAUCUAUUUUGCUAUUCAACUAUGAUUCUAUAUGAAUAAGCACCCCAACAACAAAUCUAAUUUGCUACCAUAUGCAAAUACACCUUAAGCUGGUAAAAGAACUAUUAAUGUGUAUUUGCAACAACUGAUUAAUAUUGCCACAUGUGAAAAAUUAUUGCCACAUUAAUUUUUCAUCACCUAAACACUUUUUUUACUCAAAAUUCAUAAAUACCUAAUCGUUUCACAUAACACAAAAAUUUUAAUAUAAUGCAUGAAUGAUACAUGUCGAACGAGGGCAUAUGAACAAAGGUUUCACUAAUUACCACAAGAAGCACAAAAUUCAAGAUUAUAUCCUUACCUUAUCAUUAACUAAAAAAUGAAAAAGAAUAAGAGGAAGAUGUACUGAACUUGAACAACUUAAGAUGACAACAACUGAUUCUUUACUGUGAGCGAGAUGAUGGCUUUGAUUUUAUGUGAUUAGUAAACACAUCCAAGAGAGAAAUUAGUUAUUCGAGAGAGAGGUGUGAUUUAGUAGGUCAGAGAAAAUUAAGGAUUUGAGGGAGAUAAAGCAUAUGAUGUAAUAGCAAAUCCACAUGAAAUCUGCAUUAGGCAUCGACACUUGAGAAGUAAAUGUGUGUAUGUGUGUAUAUAGUAAUUUUCCAGUGCGAGAGCUCUAAUUUUUUUUUAUGCGGAUACACUUUUACAGCACAAGAUUUAAAAGCAUGUCCGCAUUAAAAAAAUUGAUGGCAUCCACACUUAAGAAUGAUUACACACACUCACACACACAUUAUAUAUUCCUUUCUUCGUCUGAGGCAAUAAAUGACCGAAUUGCCUUGACCCAUAUUUGGGAUCCGAGGCGAAUCAUGCAAUCUUAUAUCUAAAACUCAUGACAUAAACUUAAUUUAUGAAUAUAUAAAAAUGGCCUCAGGCCUAUACCAUAAUCAUAUAAUCAUGCAAUCUAUUGCAAUAGUGCAUUACUUUAUUUUUAUAUAUAAUCAUAACAUGAUACUAAAUCAUGUUAUCAAAUAUAAAUACUUCAAAGAGUACAUAACAGUAAUAACAGUAUCCACUCACAUAUCCUAUUUAACUAUGGGGUUUAUUGGGGCUCUUAUGGGUUCCUAGAUUCUUGAGUUUCUUAGGAUUCAAAAUUUAACUAUUAGAAUUCAUAUAAAAACUUACACGAAUGAUGUAAACUAACUUAUAAUUGUUCAAAUUUCCUAAAUAUGUUACUCACUAACUCACUAGAUAUAGAUCUUACUGCCAAUUCUAUUUUCUGUAACAUUCCCUCUUAAUUCGUCUUUUUAACUUAUUUUUCACGCUUGGUUUUUUAAUUCUUUUUCUCUUUUCCUUUAUUUUUCCUUUUUUUCUCACUCUUGGCUUCUCUCUUUUCUUAGUUUCCUUUUAUAUAUAUAUAUAUCUUUGUUUCUCUUGAUUUUUUUUUUCUUCUAUCUGGUUUGCUUUGUUUUGGUUCAAUUUAUGAAAAAUGGUGAGAGCUGCUUUAAUUCUUCACUUUAUAUAUGCCACCACCUCCAAGUUUGCAUAACAAGCACACAGGUAAAGCAUUCAUGUGGUUUAAAUUAAGUACACAAUUAGCUAUUUCUUUGACAAUUAGCCACGUUUGGCUUACAAACAAGGAAGUGAAGCAUGCACACAUGCUACAAUUCCUCCAUACUUAUCAAAAGUUUCGUCAUUGAAAUUUAUGUACCGAAUUGAAAUCAAUAUGGGUACUAUGACUGCAUUUGUUCCUCGCGCUCCCAAGUGGCCUCCUUUGCAGUGUGACUCUUCGAUAUCACCUUAACCAAUAAGAUCAUCUUAUUACAUAAUACAUUUGUUUCCAAUCAAGACUUUAUAAGUUAAAUCUACUAUUAUUUGGACUGGUCCUGUAUCUAAAACAUGAGAAGGAUAAGAUAAUAACAGAAAAUCAAUAGCUUAUCUUCCAUUAUUUUCAUGGUACUUUCAACUUCAUUCAAGUCUAUAAAAAACAUCGAACGACAAGCUACAUAAAUGUGUAAAACAUAAUUGAGGCAAUUCCUUAGUGGCUACAUGUCUAAUUAGUAGACAUUGCAUGGAUUUUCUCGAGAUGCAAACCACACGGCUCUAUCUUGGAGCGUCUCAAACAUCUCGUACUAUAUUUCCAAAAACAUACUAUUUGAGUUUACUAGAAAGAAGGGCCUAACCUAUAGCUUUAGAACGAUAAAUUUGACGUCUUGCCAUCAUGGGUAAAUAUUUUUGUACUCACGAUAUUUGCUAAUGCCAAAUCAAUACUUGUAAACAAAAGAAAAGAGCUAAAGAAACAAAAAGAAAUAAGCUCUCCAUUUUCUUUUUUGUAAGAACCAAAAAGAAAAUAUUACAAUUACUUAUUGUAGCUUGUACUUACAAGAUAGAGUUCAAUGCUUAUUAGCAAAACCAUAUGGAACAAAAGCCAAAGUCAAAGUGCUUUCAUACCAACAUAUGGUUUUCAUCUACCUACUAUUAGUAUGGCAUGAAGGCAGAGCACUCUAUUAAAAUGUGAAAACAAACUAUAUUUCUUUGAUUCCAGUGGUUUAUAGCAAGUUUUCUUUUUAAUCUUUGUACAUAUGCUAUGCAUUAAUUCAUAUUUGGAAAUGUUUAUGAGUAUAGAAAAAGCAAUGAAGUAGUAAAAAACUUCUAGAGUCUAAAUCCAUUGAUUAAGUUCAUGGUACUUAAUCAAUGCCUUAAGACAUGGAAAGAUCCAUUUUUCCAUGCAAAGUCUAAAUCCAUUUUUCCUCUACUAACAUAUGCAAAAAUUACCAACCUCUCAUGCCUUAUGACAUGGAAAGAUCUUUCUUUCUGCUAUGGGCCUCAAAUUCAACUUUAAGAUUUUUUAAGCAUUGACACCUUCAAAAUUUAAUUGGAACUGAGAAGGGAAUGAAAUGGAGAUAAAGCUCCUAGUUGACUUGGCAUGUCAUUUCUACUUUGUUUUAAGCAUGUUAAUUAUGCUGCACAUCACUAAUUGUUUUUUUUUAAAAAAAAACCUCUAUAGUUUGUUCUUAACAACAACUAAAACAUUUUCAAAUAAAAAAUAAAUGGCUUAAAAUGAAUCUUAUAACAAUCUAAAGAACCUAUAACAAUAGGGCUUAACUAUAAGACCCUUUGUCUGCAUUGAAACUAGUGACAUACUAAGAAUAGUAAGUUAAUUUUGCAAUUAACAUAAACAUAAAUAAUGGUGCUAAAGUGCAAAUAUCCAAAUUUUAUAAAUUUGAACUAGAAUUGGAGUUGUGUAGCCCACUGAAAUCCAAACUUCCGAAUCUGACCAUCACACAGUAUAUAUAGAUAUUCUCAUAAGACGUUUACAAUAAGAGCAAAUGAUCUGAGGCUCAACUAUGGACCAUACACCACUAUAAGUGUUAUGCAAUUUAUUGAAUAAGCUUUAGUCUUAACUGAAUUUUUCAAGCUUAAAAAAAUAGCCUAUUGGGGAGAAAAUUAACAAUAUCAUUGGUAAGCAUUAAGGCGAUUAUGACAUUGUUGGCCCAUGUGCUGCAAUCUCUUGAACACAAAGAAGGGCCACAUUAGUGUAUCUCUUCAAUAUUGGAUACGAUGCUUCACAUUGCAAUAUCAUAUCCAUCAAUUCCCAUGCUCUAUCAUCUUUCCAUAAACCCCAAGCUUGAAGGAAAACAUAAUAAUAUUCAAAUGCUUAGGGUGUGCUCGGGAGUAAUGUGUGGCAGUUGGGCUGCCAAAGCCUAACUGCCAAGGUUUUUUGUAAGACUUUACAACUAGGUUUUGACAUCUCAGUAGUUGUUCUUUUCCCAGUUCUACUCUACAGUUAUGACUUUUACUACACAACAGCUGCAAUUUAAACGGUAUAGCUUAAAAGGGUCGAUGAGAUGUAGAGUUCAAAGAGGGUGACAUGGUGUUUCUGAGACUUCAACCAUAUCACCAGUCCUCAAUAUUCAAGCGAGCUCAUCAAAAGUUGGACAGUAGAUAUUUUGGCCCUACAGAAUUCUUCACAAGGUUAGAACCGUGGCCUAUAAGUUGCAACUGUCAGAAGGUGCAAAAUUCCAUCUUGUCUUCCAUGUAUCUUUGCUCAAGAAAGCGAUGGGAGAAUCAACUACUGCCACUGUUGAGUUGCCCCCUAUCGAUGACGAGGGAGUGAUAAUGUUACAGUCGAAGUCAAUUGUAGAUACCCGUUGGUUAAAAAUGGGAGGGAAAUUAAUUGAGCAAAGCCUAGUUCAUUGGAACAAAUUACCACCUGAAGAGGCAACAUGGGAAGAUGCUACAUUAAUCAGACAAAAUUUUCCUUCUCUAGCCCUUGAGGACAAGGUACCUCUUCCAGAAGGGGGAAUUGAUAAGCCCAGACGUUCAACAAGAACUCUAAGACCCACCAGCAAGUUUGGGGACUGCGUUUGAGUGCCAUGCGAGCCAUGCAUGGACGUUUGAGUGCCAUGCAAACCAUGCAUGGGUUUGGAGCACACAUACAAAAUGUGUGUGCUUGUGUGUUGCAAUAAUAGCGGAAUAAUUCCUGAGUCAAAGUGAUCGUUGCUAAUGUGGUGGAGUAUCGAAUCGAAGUGAUUACGUUUGACUUGGUUUUUAUUUGAGUUGUUAAAUAAAUAUUAUUUGUUUGUUUUUAUUGAUUCUGGCCUAGAUUGUUGGUUUAGAAAUCUAGAGUUGUCUUGUAUAAAUAAGUCUUUCGCUGUUAAUAAAAUUAUUCAGCAAAUUAUCAAACAUAUUUAUCUUGGUUGGUCUCACCAAAAGCAGAACAAAUUUAAUUUUCUUAAAUCAUUAUAACUUGCUCUUGACUGGGACCUAUCAAAUUGGUAUCUGAGCAAGGCUCAACAAUGGCGACAAACAAAGAACGUAUUGAACGUGUAGAAGCUGAAAUUAGAGGCUUACAAGACAAAAUGAAUCAGAUAGAGUUGGGCCUCAUGGACAAGCUGCACCACCUUGAAGAAGUAUUUAGCAAGUUGCCAGACUCAAUUAGCACGUCAAGAGGAACAGCAAGUCAGCGGGAGAAUGUUGGAUCAUCAAGACUGGGCAGAGAAGAGAGUGAAAGAAAUCGUCAACAACUUCCCUCUCAUGUGGCCAAGCUAGAAUUCCCACGUUACGCAGGAGAUGACCCGACGGAAUGGUUCAAUAGAGUGUUACAAUUCUUCGAGUAUCAAAAGACGAUGGAUGACCAAAAAGUGGCGUUGGCCUCUUUCUAUUUUGAAGGUGAAGCCAAUCAAUGGUGGCGAUGGCUGUGAAGGGCAUAUCAAGAAGAGAAACACAUAGUUACUUGGGAAACUUUCACGGAGGAAUUAUGGGGUCGCUUUGGUCCAACAGAGUGUGAAGACUUUGACGAAGCACUAUCACAUGUAAAGCAAACAGGCACUUUACGGAACUACCAGAAGAAGUUUGAAAGAUUAGGGAAUCGAGUACACGGAUGGACACAAAAGGCCUUGGUAGGUGCCUUCAUGGGAGGGCUCAAGCCGGAAAUAUCCAAGGAAAUUUGGAUGUUCAGGCCACGGACAUUGAAAAAGGCAAUUAUCACGUUAUAAGAAAAUAUCAAGGCCAGCGUUUAUUAAUCGACUGUCGUUCACACAACCUGCUAAUAACAAAGCCAUUCCUACCGUGCCUGUAAAGAAAUUAAGUUGGGAUGAAAUGCAAUGUCUGCGAGUGCAAGGGCUUUGCUUCAAUUGUAACGACAAGUUCACUACUGGUCACAAAUGCACAAGGGCACAACUUCUAAUCAUGAACAGUGAAGUAGAGAUAGAUGAAAAUACUAAUGAGGAGCCUAUUGGAGGAGUAAACCAAACAAAUCUAGAUGAGAGUAAGGAUCUCCAAAUUACUUACUAUGUACUCACGGGUUCGGCAGCCCCUCAAACAAUGCACGUGUUGGCAAAGAUUGGCUCAUAUGAAAUCAUGGUUUUAAUCAACAACAGAUCCACCCAUAACUUCAUCAGCACUCGGUUGGCUAAUCAACUUCAAUUACCGAUCAAACCCACAACAACAUUUUCGGUUCAAGUUGUGAAUAGCGAGAAACUAACAUGCCGAGGCAAAUUGGAGAAGGUACAAAUUGUCAUUCAAAAUAUUCAUUUCUCACUUACUGUCUACUCGUUGCCUAUCACAGGUUUAGAUAUGGUCUUGGGCAUUCAAUGGCUCGAAUUGUUGGGUACCGUAGUGUGCAAUUAGAAGACUGUCACCAUGAAGUUCGAUUGGGGUAAUCAAAGGUGACAUUUGCAAGGUAUUAAUCCACAGUCCUUGCAAACGGCUUCUCUGACAUAAAUUGGAAGAAACUUUGUGCACAGUACCAGUAGAUAUGCAACAAUUAUUGAAAGAUUAUGAGGAAAUAUUCCAAGAACCUACAAAGCUCCCACCAUCACGAGGAAUUGAUCAUUGUAUUCCACUAAAAGAAGGAACGGAGCCUGUCAAUGUUCGACCAUACCGCUACGCAUAUUUUCAAAAAGUAGAAAUUGAGAAACAAGUUAAAGAGAUGUUGCGAUCGGAGUUGAUAAGAUCUAGCACCAGUCUGUUUUCUUCUCUGGUGCUGCUGGUCGAAAAGAAAGAUGGUAGCUGGCUGUUUUGUACCGACUCGCGAGCUCUCAAUGAAGUAACCAUCAAAGAUUGAUUUCCCAUACCCACAGUUGAGGAUAUGCUCGACGAAUUAUUUGGUGCUGCUUACUUCACAAAGCUCGAUUUAAGAGCCAGAUAUCACCAAGUUCAAGUUAACUCGCCUGACAUCCACAAGACAGCCUUUCGCACACACAAUGGGCACUACGAAUACUUGGUAAUGCCGUUCAGAUUAUGCAAUGCGCCGUCAACUUUUCAGGCUGUAAUGAACUCCAUCUUUCGACCUUAUCUUAGAAAAUUCAUUCUUGUAUUCUUUGAUGAUAUACCAAUAUACAUUGCAUCAUGGAGUAGCCACCUUGAAUAUGUCAAACAGGCGUUGGAAGUCCUAAAGCAACAACAAUUUUUUAUUAAAAUCAGCAAGUUCAAUUUUGGCCAACAGGAGCUGGAGUACUUAGGCCACAUCGUUACUUGCAACAACAUGAAAAUGGAUGAAAGGAAAGUUGCUGCUAUGGUGUCGUGGCCAAAACCACAAACCAUCACAGAACUAAGAGGUUUCCUCGGCCUCAAAGGCUACUAUCGCAAAUUUGUAAAAGGGUAUGGUGUCUUAGCUCGACCUCUCACUAAUCUUUUAAAAAAGGACAAUUUUGCUGGAAUUCAGAAGCAGAAGAGGCAUUUAAGAAUCUGAAACAGGACAUUCCGGAGUCCUACGAGCAUACAAACGCCUAGCUCAAUGUUGAGUGUUAGAAAAUGCAUAUUUAUAAAGGAGAAAACCGUCAUUUUACAUUUCAAGUCUUACUAACACCUUUACUUUUAUGAAUUUAACCUUCUUUUAAUUUAAUUUCGUUUGUUUUAUUUUAAUUAAGUAUUUUAUGUAUUUUAGGGGCAUCGUAGUCAUUUCACAAUAAACGAGAGAUCAGAUGGCAAAACGGACAUCACUUUUGAACUCAGGACGGUCAAAAACCUUAGGAGGAGCAUAAAAGGAAAAAUGGCACUGUUCACAUGUACGGUACUGUAUACGUUACUGUUCACGGCACUGUUCACAUAGAUGGAUCGAUGAUGUGGCAUUGACUGAUGAGGUGUCACGAUCCUGUUGGGCUAAAAUUCUUAUAUACUGUUGAUGGUGACGUGGCAGCAUAUCAGUGGACGAAAAAUCUCGCGUACAGUACAUGCAUCACACAUGAUUAUUUUCAACCAAACCGCGUUACUGUUCAUCAGGGUCAAACCGUGUUACUGUUCAUCCGCGUGGUCAAACCGCGUAUUGUUGACUGAUGACGUGGCGCAAUCCUAAGCGUCCAAACUGUUUUUAAUCCGAUGGCUAUGAUUUACUCCAUGUAUCUAUAAAAAGGGGGCCUCUCCCCCCUAAUUUGAUAUCUCUGAAUCCAUUUUUGGGAUCCAUUUUCUGUAAUUCCCUCUCCAUCUUGUAUUUUCUUCGUAUUUUAAUAAAUUUCCAUUUUGCCCCUAGUUCAAUUAUGAGUGGCUAAUUUUCUUUCAAGCUUGGGUUGAAGGUGAAGUCUCAACAUGUGUCAUGGGCUUAAUUUGGUAAAUUUAUUUUCUCUUCCCCUCUAGUUUUUGUGGAUGUUUUGACUUCUCGUCGACAAAUAAUACUAAUCUUGUCCAGUACCGCCUUGGUUUCACCGGCCCUCUAGUACAAGGUUAUUAUUAUUUGGCACGAUAAGCCCUUAGCACCAUAUUGAUUAGAGCGUGGUUCAUGAGGUGUGGAUUCCCCCCUCAUGAUUUAAUUGGCAUUAAUAAGGAUUAUUUAGCCCAUGAUGCAUGUUGAUACGGAUCCAGAUACCCAAGUAUGUCAUUUCAAUAGAUUUCUCUUCAAUUUAUUCUCGUCAUUGCAAGUCCAAUUUUAGAAUCUAUUCUCGCCAUUUUAAUUUAAGUUUUAGCAUAUUCCAAAUCAUUUCCACCACAAAUCCAAUCACCCAUUUACAAAAUUAAUUCUACACACAAUUAAAAUCCACCUCCUCGUGGGAUAGACACUCGUCACCAUUGAUCUAUACUACAAUAGAUUCGUGCGCUUGCGAGUACAUUAAAAUUUGCACAACACUCAACAAUUUUAUUGGCCUUCUAUAUUCAAUUCGGUUCAAGAAUAUGUAAGUAGAUGUGAGACUUGUGAACGGGUAAAAGCUACAACAUUGAAACCUGCUGGACUCUUGCAGUUGUUGCCCAUUCCUUUCCAAUUAUGGGAUGAUAUUUCAAUUGAUUUUAUUGAAGGCCUACCAAGUUCACAAGGCAAGGAUGCGAUCAUUGUGGUGGUUGAUCGAUUAAGCAAGUCAACUCAUUUCAUAUCAUUAACACAUCCGUUCACGGCCAAAACAGUGGCAGAAAAAUUCAUUGACGGAGUAGUUAAGCUGCACGGUAUGCCCAAAUCCAUACUCAGUGAUCGGGAUCCAAUUUUUGUGAGUAAAUUUUGGCAAGAAUUCUUUACCUUGUCGGGCACGCACUUGAAAAUGAGUUCGGCGUAUCACCCUCAAACCGACGGCGAAACCGAAGUAGUGAAUCGAUGCUUAGAGCAAUACUUGAGAUGUUUUGCGCACCAAUGGCCGCGAAAGUGGAGUUUUUACUUAGCAUGGGCUGAAUUUUGGUAUAAUACAACAUACCAUGUGUCAGCAGGUAUGACUCCAUUCCAAGCUCUACAUGGACGCUUGCCCCCAACAGUGCCGAAUUAUCAAGUGGGAACUUCUCCGAUGCAUGAAGUGGAUAAAGCCUUGUUAUCACGAGAUGAGCUAUUAUCACAGUUGAAGAGAAAUUUGGCAGCUGCGGCUAAUUGGAUGAAACAAUCCGCAGACAAGGGUCGACGAGAUGUAGAGUUCAAAGAGGGUGACAUGGUGUUUCUGAGACUCCAACCAUAUUGCUAGUCCUCAGUAUUCAAGGGAACUCAUCAAAAGUUGGCCAAUACAUAUUUUGGGCCCUACAAAAUUCUUCACAAGGUUGGAACCGUGGCCUAUAAGUUGCAACUGGCAGAAGGUGCAAAAAUCCAUCAUGUCUUUCAUGUAUCUUUGCUCAAGAAAGUGAUUGGAGAAUCAACUACUGCCACUGUUGAGUUGUCCCCUAUCGAUGACAAGGGAGUGAUAAUGUUACAGCCGGAGUCAAUUGUGGAUACACAUUGAUUAAAAAGGGGAGGGAAAUUAAUUGAGCAAAGCCUAGUUCAUUGGACCAAAUUACCACCUGAAGAGGCAACAUGGGAAGAUGCUACAUUGAUCAGACAUAAUUUUCCUUCUCUAGCCCUUGAGGACAAGGGACCUCUUUCAGAAGGGAGAAUUGAUAAGCCCAGACGUUCAACAAGAGCUGCAAGAGCCACCAACAAGUUUGGGGACUACGUUUGAGUGCCAUGCAAGCCAUGCAUGGGUUUGGGGCAGACGUACAAAGUGAGUGUGCUUGUGUGUUGCAACAAUAGUGGAAUAAUUCCUGAGUCAAAGGGAACGUUGCUAAUGUGGUGGAGUAUCGAAUCGAAGUGAUUACGUUUGACUUGGUUUUUAUUUGAGUUGUUAAAUAAAUAUUGGUUGUUUGUUUUUAUUGAUUCUGUCCGAGAUUGUUAGUCUAAAAAUUUGGAGUUGUCUUGUAUAAAUAAGUCUUCCACUGUUAAUAAAAUUAUUCAGCAAAUUAUCAAACAUAUUUAUCUUGGUUGUUCUCACCAAAAGCAGAACAAAUUUAAUUUCCUUAAAUCAUUAUAGCUUGCUCUUGAUUGGGACCUAUCAUGGACAUUCUUAGUUUUGUCUAAAUCAAUUAUUAAAGUAAACGUAGGUCAAUUAGGAUUAUUACUAGAUUCAUCUUAAAAUGUUUAAAUAAUAAGAAUUAGUAAAAAUAAAAAUAAAAAUAAAGUGAGAAAUCUUUAUUGUAUUUGCAUGACCAAGAAGUGUAAGAAAAUCGGUAUGAAAGAAUCUUGUAUUUGGUAGGAGACAUACAACCACUAGAAAUUCAUUGUUUCAUCAAAUAUUUAAAGAUAAUGAUGUUCUUGUUGUUUUUUUAUGUUUGUUUUAGAGAAAGAUAAUGAUAAUCUUGAUGUGACAUUUUUUAGAUUGAAAUUUGUAUGAUAGCUAGCUUUUUAUGUGCUACUGAAAAUAGUAAAAUGUGUUUCGUAAUUUGUAUGUGAAAAUGUAUAUUGAUUAAACUUUUAUAGUAAUUAUAUUUUAUUUACAUUAUCUUACCAUUCAAGUGAUUUUUUUUAAUAAUUCAUUGUUUCAUCAAAACGGAAGAAAUAACUAAAUUUGUUGUGCAAUAUUCCGCAUGAAUGGGAAAAAAGAAAGGACAUGGAAUGCCGAUCAAUUUGAAAACUGAUAAUUGUUUUAUCAUUUAACAGGCAAUGAUAGCAAUUUAAUUAUUACUACAAAAGAAGGGCUGGAUCAAAGGAGCCAAAGUUCACCAUGGAAAACCUACAGUGUCGUAGAAAAUAAAACCACUCCAUAUCAUUUCCAAACCCAAUGAUUCCCACAUGCAAUAGAUUAACCAUUGGAUUCAUGCAAUAAAACCAAGUGUUAAUUUACCCAUAUUUUUGUAUUGUUUUUUUGUAUUCAAUCUCAACCAUUGAAUUAAUUUUACUUGAAUCUAACAGUUAGAGUUAAAACGCGGCAUGGUGCCGAGGCUCAAAGUCCGGCAUUGUAGCAAUAGACAAAAUAAUAAUAUUAAAAUUAUUUAAACAUAAUAUUAUAUUAUAUUUAGUUAAAAGUACUAAUUUACAUUAAUUUUAAAUUAAAAUUAUUUAAAUUAUUAUUAUAUUCAUAGAGAAUUAAUAAUAUUACUCUAUGUUAUUUUUAUUUGAAAAUAUAAAUGUUUCUUUAAUAUAAAUAAUUAAUAAUAAUAAAUAGUUUGUUUUAACAAAAUAUUAAUCUCGUACUGUAUUAUUAAUUAUGUUUUAUUUCUAUUGCUCUUAUCAAUAGUUUUAAUUUAUAUAAUUAAAAUUAAAAUUAAUAAAAAUUAUGAUUUAUAUAAUUAAGAAUAUUAAUAAUUAAUAAUUUAUAUAAUUAAAAUUAAUAAUAAAAUAAAUUAUUUAUUUUAAAAAUAUAUUUUUUUAUUCACAUACUAAUUAAAAAUUACAAUUUUUUAAAUAAAUAUAAAACUAUAAUUUAAAACAAUUGACUUCUAAUAUUAGAUAAAAUAAAUACAUAAAUAAAAUUUGAGUUCCUAUACCAUAAUUCCAUUUUUUACUUUAUACUUUCAGCAUUCUCAGUCCUCAAAAUUUAUAUUCUAAUAGGAGAAGUAAGCACUACUCAAAUACUAUCGCAAUUAGGCUUGAAGAUUACGGCCUAUCAUUUGGCUUCUUCUGUUCAAUAGAGGACGAUAGCAUCGUCCGGUUUAUUGACUCGGAAAACGACACCGUUUUCAGUUCUCUCUCUCACAGUCUCACUGACUGAUCCUAUAAGCCAUAAUCAAUUACUAAAAUUGAAAGACAUCAACACAAAACAAGGUGGAAGCAGGAUGUGUGGAGAUUCAACGAACUGGGACGAAGAUGCUUACAGAAAAAGUAUACUGAAGGAAAGAGAGAUCCUGACCCGAACCGUAUUUCGAACCGUUUGGGGCCCCUCUAAAGAUGGUAGCCCUGACACCAUCGUUAUCGCCUCCAGUGACGGCUCUAUAACAUCUUACUCUAUUCCUUCUUGCAUCUCCAAACUCGUCAGUUCAAUUCACUCUUCUCAUUUUCAACUUCUAAUUUCUUCUUUUUCUUUUCUCUUAUAAUUUUUAUUUUUAUUAUUCAAUUACUUAUUUGAAAUUAUAAGCUUUGUUACCUUGGUUGCAGCCAUUGGGUUUGAGUAAUAGCAAGGUUCAACAGUAAGUGUGCUUUUACUUAUUGUUUAGAAAAUUGUUCAGAAGAUAGUUAGAACUGCCUUUACUUGGAAGUGAAAGUUGUUUUCUCCCUAGGUUGUUAGGGAUUGAACCUGAUGGAUUCCUUCAUGGGCAUGAUGGACCUGCAUAUGACGUCAAAUUCUAUGGUGGUAAUGAAGAUGCUUUGUUGUUGAGGUUUGUUUGAUAAAAACUAAAUGGCACUUCACUUUUUGUGUGAAUUUGUUUUUGAUGACGAUCGAGACUAUAGCUAUUUACAAGUUUGAGUCAUACAAUGCUUUACAUUUCAAUCAUUUAUUUUCUCAUAAAUUAUUAGUAUGAAUGCGCACAAAUAUUAUGUGCUGAGCAUGCAAAAAACUUAAAUCUUUCUUUUAACUUGAGAAUAGACUGUAUGAAUGAAGAUAUAAAUGACGCUUGCUACUUAUGAUUAAUUAAAUUGUUUACUGAAUAUCAUGCAGUUGUGGAGAUGAUGGGCGGAUUUGUGGGUGGAGGUGGAAGGAAUUUACAGAGUCAAAAGUGCCUAUUAAUUUACAAGGUAUAGAUAUGGGAUAUAUAUUUAAAGGUGCCAUUAACUUACUUUAUUUUAUGUGAGAAUACUCAUUCUUGUCAAUCUGAUUGCUGCAGUCAAACUGUCAUAAAUUGUUUGAUUUUAUAAUUUCUUGAUGUGGUCUCACAGUUUUCUGUUAGUGUUAAAUGCUAUCCAGCUUUUUCAAAUUUCUUUCACUACAAAUGCUAUCCGACUGUUUUCUUUUACUGUUUUCGACUCAAAUCAUAGCUUCGGGCGGACAUUUACAUAUUUUCUGAUUUUAUUUCUCUCUCUCUCUGUUGGCUUGCUAGUACAACAGUGUAAUCUUCUUUAAGCUUCUGUUUAGUUUCAAUUUAACUUUCCAUUUUCAAGUGUUCUGUCUCCCCGGGGAGUGUGGUUUAUUUAAAAAAAAUAAAAACCUUAGGUCUUCAACUCAUGUUCAUGCUAGAAGUUCCGUGCAUCAACUUCUUACAUUCAAUGAGAUUAGUGUAGCAGUUUGGUUUCUCAACAAUCAACACUCUUUCAUGAAUUUAUAUUGUGUUCUUUUAUUUUUCAGGAAAUCAUGUAAAGCCAGUUCUGGACUUGGUGAAUCAUCAACACAAGUGAGUUAUUACAAAUGAUAGAAAUGAGCUGAGCUGUUAUGCGUCAAUUGCUUUUAUUAGUUGAUACUAGGGGGUCACCUUCUCAACAUUUUAGAUGCCCUCUCUCUGAUAUCAUCAAAUGAGUUUCAGUUUGUUUUUUUUAAUUAAUUUUGUUUUUGGCUUAGUUAGAGAUUAGACCUUUUUAUACUUCCUACUUUUUAUUCUGAGACAAAGUUAAGUAGAUUGAACAUAUAGAAAUUUACAAAAAGGUGAACAAGCUGCUGACUAGUGCCAAAACGGCCUAAGAAUUUACAAACUAGAGAAUAUCUCUAAACCUGUCGUGGAAGGGCUAAAAUAGCAUCAACAUCUAAAAUAAAGGCAAAAACCUUUCCGAAAGGCAAAAGCCACCAAAUCUAAAACUUCUUCCCAAUUCAAAUUAUGAAAAAGAACGAAGUAUCUUGUUUCCUUUGAAAUGUGACAUCUUCCUCUCUAGGAUCCCUGAAAAUUCUGUUGUUUCAUUUUAGCCAAAUAACCCAUAGAGCAGCCAAAACGCUACAUUUCCAUAAUACUCUUGCUUUUUCUCCUUUAGCAAAAGCUGCGACAUGUUCAAUAAACAUUAAAACACAAGAGUGUUGAAAGGCCCAUGAGACUUUAGCAGCUUGAAAUAGGGUAUUCCAAAGACUAGAUGUUACUUUGCAGCGUAGGAAGAGAUGAUCAGCAGUCUCUUCGCUAUUCUUGCACAUAAAACACCAAGAAGAAGCUAGGACGACAUUAGGAAUCUCUUUUUGAAUGACUUCAGCUGUGUUAAUUCGAUCAUGAUAAAGAACCCAAGCGAAAAAUUGUACCUUACAAUGCACAUUAGCUUUCCAUAUAGAGUCUGCUGGCAAAAAGCUAUUGAAUGAGAAAUCUUCUCUUAACCAAUCGAAGUAUGAUCAACAAGGAAAAGUGCCUGAUGAUUCAAUCUUUGACACUCUUCUAUCUAAACUCAUUUCAUCAAUAAAAACAUUAUCCAAAAUAGCCAACAGAUCUGAAGAUUCUUCAGUUUCUCUCUCUAUAUAUCCCGAAAAAAAUUUAGUUUGCAUUCCAAGAUGAAGGAGACGAGCCAAAAACCAUUUUAGACUUGAUUGAGAUGUUAUGAUCAUGAGUCAAUCUAUAUAGUCUAGGAAACAAAUCACACAAAAGAAACAGUGCCAGGCCAAACAUCUUACCAAAACUGUAUCUUUUCUUCAUUUCCCACCUCAAAUCUUGUAUGCAUAAGAAAAGAAGGAUACCCCAAAGAGAUGGUCUUCCAGGGGCUUCAGUUAGAUCCAUUAGUGACCACAUUAGUAUCCCAUUUGUUGUCUUGGAUGCCGUACUUACUCUUCAUGAUAUUGUGCUGUAAAGAGUUUUGCUCCAGAGAAGAUCUCGAAAGCCAUUUAGCUAGUAAGGCACAAUUCUUGUUCACCACAUUGCCGAUACCUAAACCUCCAUUAUUUCUAGAAUUGCUGACAGUUUCCCAUUUCACCCAAUGCAUACUCAUGCUUUUUCCAAAACUUUCCCAUAAAAAAAUCAAUCAUCAAUUUUCUAUCCUUUUGGCUAUCUUGAUAAGGAUUUUAAAUAAAGGAAAUGUGUAAGGAGGCUUGAAAGAACAGAUUGUAUAAGCUUAAGUCUGCUCCUACGCUAUAGAAAAGCCCUUUUCCAUCCUUUUAACCUUUUUUCUAUUUUCUGCAUCACCGGCUCCCAGAAGCCUACUGAUUUUGGAUUGCCACCCAAAGGUAAACCGUGGGACUUAAGAGGCUAACUUCCAACACUGCACCCAAUUCUAAUUGCCAAGGCCGAAAGCUUGUUAUCUUGAGAAUUAGUUCCAGCUAUUAUGGUCUUUGAAAGAUUAAUUUUCAAGCCUGAAAUUAAGCCAAAAGGUUUCACCAGAGAAACAAAAUUGCUUAUUUUGCUCCCAUUUCCAGAGUAUAUGGUGUCAUCAGCAAAUUAUAAGUGUUAGACCAGUUCAUUUUCUCUAUCAAUCUUUAUUCUCUCGUGAUCUCAGCAUCUAGGGCUUUCUUCACCAUCCUACUCAAGAUAUCAACUGCCAAGGUGAAAAGGGAUGGAGAAAAAGGGUCACCUCGUCUGAAGCCCCUAGACACUCUUAAAAAUCCCCUUGGAUGCCCGUUAAUUAGAACAUAAAAAUUCAUAAGACUUGAGGCAGCCUUGAAUCUGCCUCCUCCAUUUUUGCUCGAAAUGAUCAAGAAAGAUCCAAUCAAUGGUCAAAAGCUUUCUCAAUGUCAAUUUUGAGAAUUAACCUUCCCUUCUUUUUCCUACACUCAUCCGCCACUUCAUUGGCCACCAAAACUGCAUAAAAAAUCUUCUUUCCUUUUAUAAAAGCUGCCUGAGAUGAAGAAAUGGUCUCUGCCAAAACUUCCUUAAGACUUUAUUAAUCACACCUCUGUUAUAGAAUUCUUCAAAACCUUUCAACAGAUCCUUCUUCAAAGAACCCUAACAUUUCUGAAAUAAAGCCUUUAAAUAGCCAUCCGGUACUGGAGAUUUUUCAAAACAGCAAUCAGAUAUAGCUUUCCUAAUCUCUUCCACUUCAAAAGGUCUCUAAUUUAUUAGCCUCACACCUUAAAAUAGGCGUCCAAUUUAAACCAAGAAUUUACGGUCUACUAGUCCCAACUCCAGAAUAUAAGAGCUUGAAAUAAUCAACAAUUUUUUCCUCUAUUUUCUUGUCAUCCUCCAAAAUUGAGCCUUCGCUAGUUUCAUUUCUAGUAAUAAUUUUUUUACUCCUCCUGCCGUUAACUACAGUGUGAAACAUUUUAGUGUUAUUACCAGUAUCUCGAGCCCAUAACAACUUUUGUUCUUUGCCACCACAUUGUCUCUUUCUUAAAGAUUAAUUCUUCCAGCCUAGUUCUAGACUAAAAUCACUCUCUAUUUAAAGACUCGUCCAACAUUCCUUCCCCAUCAAACUUGUCCACUCUUGGAUUCUCAAGUACCUGUUUUUUCGAAUUUCACAUUCCCAAACACCUCUUUGUUCCAUAUUUUCAGCUUUUUCCUUGCAUAAGAUAAUUUCUUCAUGACCAAACUCUUGUUUCCUGACCAAUCCUCAAAAUAUUUUCUAAACAAAUGAUGCUCUGACAAUGUGUUCUCAAAUUUGAAAGGAUUAGCCCCCCAAGCCAUUGAAUUGGAGUCUGAAACAAUAGGGCAGUGAUCUGAUGUUGAUCUUGGGAAAGCUCCUUGUCGAUUACAAAAGCAAUCCUUCUCCCACUCUGGCAAAAAGAGAAAUCUGUCCAACCUACAACAGACAACAUUUGAUCUUAAGUUAGACCAAGUGAAAUUUGCUCCAAUCAGAGAUGGAUCCUAAAGAUUGGUUUCUCUGACGAAACAAUUAAAAUCCUUCAUUCUUCUUGUCUGUCUCCCCCCAUUAGAUAUAAAGAAAAAUCCACUCUUUAUAUCUAGAUCCUCAAACACUACCCACUAGCUUCCUAUCAACGAAAUCCUUUUUAGUCUCUUGGAGAAUCACAAUAUCAGGCCUGAAAUUGAUGACUGUUCCAACUUAGAAUCUUCACGGAAUUCUAUUAUAGCCAAAUCCACCUUCACUAAUAGCUUCCUUAGCCUACUUGCUGCAGUCUUUACAACUGGUUUGCUGAAGUUACAAGUUCAUUUUUCCCAGCAAUUCCUUAAUUUUUAACCUCUCUUCAUCUUCUACACCUAGUUCCUUUAACAACAAUUCACAAUUAACAGGUUGCACCUUACUAGAUUCUCGUUUCCUCUCUCUUGUUCCGAACAGCACUUUUUAUCUUCUCCUAGAAUACUGCUGAAUCACAGUUAGUUUUAUUAGGGCGAAAAUAUGAUCCUCAAGAAUAUGUGCUGCAAAUCCUAUAGUGAAACUUUGAGAUCUACACUUAAUUUGAAGUUUCAAUUGUCAAGAAAGUUUUAAAUAGAUCUAAGUUAAACAAAACCUUAACCCAAUGUUUAAGAAAACAUGGACCAGAGAUGUAGAAGAAUGAUAUUGACGUUACACUUAAGAUAUAGAUGAGAAGGUGAGUACUAAGUCAAGAUUGGAAUGCCAUAAGAAUGCAAAUUCUUGAUAGGUUCAUUAAUUCACAAAAGAAUCACAGAAAUAAAGAUUCCAAAAAAUAAGGAUCUUUCAAAUUCAAAUAACAUUGAUUUCUAAAUUCUGAAUUUUACAUAACAUGGUUGCUGAGUUUAAAUAGGCUAAUAGAAACCCAAGAUCCUAAAAAUAUACUUAGAAAUAUUGGAAUAACUCUCCAAGCACAAACUUACUCAAAAAGAUACUCCAAAAGUCUUAACUAGCCUGCCAACAUUAAUGAUUGACUUAGCUAAAUCAUUGACAAACUUAACCAAGCAUAGUCUUUGUCAAAAUGAUACUUUAAAAGUCUUCACUCACCCACUGUCAUUAUUGCUAGACUCAACUAAAAUAUUGGCAAACUUAAGCAAGCACAGGUUUAGCCGAAAGAAUACUUCAAAAGUCUUCAUUAGCUCACCAUUAUUAAUGCUAGACUUAUUUGAAACAUUGACAAACUUAAAACAAAAUAAAAAAAGGAUCAUAAAUGAAGUUGAAAAAGCAAGGGGGGCUCAUUAAUAUGGCUGGAACUCCUAAACUCUAGACUAGACUUAGAUUAAAGCUUGAACAAGUUACAAUAAAUUGGUCAUAACUUCUUCUAGAAAACUCCAAGUCCAUCUCUUAAAAUUACAUUGGAAAGUUAACUCAAUCAGUAACAGUUUUAUUCUGAAUUUGUCAUUUUUGCAUUUAGCCUAAACUGUGUAUUUGGUUGUCCAAUAGCUUGAAUAAUGCUCACAAUGUUUUGUCUUCUCGCCAAGUUCAAUUCAUCUUGUCUUGCACCUUGAAUUGUGAUUUCAGCUCAUAUUUCUCAAUUAAUCUAAAAACAAUUUAUUCUACUACUAAAAAUCAAUUUAUGAAAGGGAAAAAAAAAGAAUGUGCAAAAGAAGCAAUUUAAUCUUUGAUAUGAUGAUAAUAAUUUUGCACAAAAAAUUUAAUAAAUAAAUUUUCCUUUUAAAAAUUAAAUAAAUUAAAUCAAUUUAUGAAGUACCUAACACCACACGGUCAAUUUUACAAAAUUCAUAAAGGGUCAUUUUUGCCCUUUAAGAAGGAAGAACAGUAAAUGAUGAUUUAAUUACAAAAUUCAUAAAAGGUUAAUUAUAUGGUCUUUUACGCUCCAGGGGUAAAAUUGACCUUUUAUGAAUUUUCCGUUACAUAUUAACUGAGUUUUAACGGAAUGGUGGGAAAAUGCUAACAGUUUAAACGUUUUGUGGUAAAUUGAUGGUUUUACCAAACCGUGGUACUGACAUGAUGUGUCAGAAUAGCUUUGGUGGGAAAAUGAUAAUAUCCCUUCUUUUUAUUACAUAGUUUCUAUCUCCAUUGCUUGAAAUCUUAUUAGUUUCUCAAAAAAAAAAAAAAUCAAUUACAAAUUAAAAAUAUAAAUCAUGAAAGUAAAAAUGUUUCAAAAAAAUAAAUCAUUUAAUUGUUAGGUUGAAUUUCCUUUCUAAAUAAGAAAUAAAUUAAUUUGUCUCUAGUUAUUUAGGUAAUUUCAUUUAAAGUUUUAUGAGGAAUUUAAAGGGGUGUCAAAAGGCCUACUCAAUUACCCCUUUCUUCUUUUUUUUUUUUUUUUUUGUUUAUUUGGGGCCAUGAAGAAUUAGCUCACCAACCGGAAGAAGGAAUGGGUUGAGAAUUUGAAUUCAAAUUUUGAACACUUUUUCUGCAAAUUGUUUUCUCUGAGUUUUUUUGUAUCUUCCCAAAAUCAGUCUGACUUUUGUUAAAUACAUGUGCUUUAGAAGCACCUCUAGAGGCAUCCCCACUAAAAGCACUCCCUUCCCUUUGGUUGCCAUGUGUAGAACCCUUUUUUUUUCUUCCUGGGGAGAAUUCCUUUUGGAACCUGAGUUUACUUACUUUCUUCUGGACAUACCUAUUUGUCUUCCCACUUUCUCUUGGGCUCGCCAAAGACUGCCUCGUUUCUUUUUUAUUAAGUCUCAUUAUUCUUGUAAAACACACUUAGUUUGAAAGGAUCCAGAUUGUUCAAUAUGUGCCUUUGUGAUGUCUUCAUUAUAUUUACACUUAGUUUGAAAGGAUCCAGAAUGUUCAAUAUGUGCCUUUGUGAUGUCUUCAUUAUAUUUAGUCUAAGUGGGAGACUAUAGUGCAACAAUAGUACUGUAUUUUCCCAGUAACGCUCGGUUUGUGUAGAGGCAGCUUGUAUAUGAACCCAACACUGCAUAUGCGUCCUGAAGUUGACAUGGUAUGAUGUAAACUGAAACACUACUGAUUUAUUCGUAUCUGUCAAAUAAUUAGUUUUCCUAAAUUUUCAUCCUUGUGUCUUUGUCUUAAGCAACUAAAUACUCAAGGACAAGACGAGAGCAAAAAAUUGUACGUCAUUUUAGAAUGUUUGAUGCGACUAUGUUCAUGCCCUCAAUACUAACAUUGUAACUAAUUAAUCAUGACAACCUGGUAAACAAAGGACAGAGAUGAAAAUUUAUUGAUUAAUUGUGACAAUCUGAACUAAGGGUGCGCAAAAUCGGAUACGGAUCGGAUUGGGAUCAAUCUGAUCGGAUUGCAGAUUGUUUAGAUUAAUAAAAAAGUCAUCCGAAUGUAAUCCAAACUUAAAUCUGAUCAAAUCUGAUCCAAAUAUAUUCGGAUCGGAUUGGAUCAAAAAUAACAUAUUGAAUCGAAUUUGGAUGUGUUCGAAUAAAUCAGAUGACUCUAUAUCACUUGGAAGCUGCAAUACAAAAUUGAAAUCACACAUUAAAAAAGAAAAAAAAAUACAGCAAGCCAGCAAAUGGACAAAAGAAAGACAGAAUGAAAGUGUGUUCAUUUUAACCUCAAUUAUUUUGUUAAGAUCUUCAGUAACAAUUGCAUCUCGAAAGCAAGAAAGCUAAAUCAAACAAUCAACUUUACAAUCACCAAAAAACAACGAGAAUGACAUGCAGACAAAAACAGGUUCACAAUCAAUUCAAAAGAUCCAAACCUCUGCAAGUUUUUCAAAGUAUCUAUUCUUAUAACUUAUAAUCACUGUACCCCACAAGUUUUGAUGGAUCCGAUUCCAUUGGAAACCCUUGCAAUAAACAAAUAAAUGUAGCGGCUUUUGCAUGCGGUUUUGGCUGGUAGCGUGGCAACUUACAAGCUCAAUGGCUGUCGUCUGGGACGUCGUCGGCAUACAGCUGAGACGUUGACGACUGGACAGCUGGCUGGUUUUCUCUCAAAGAGAUUGGCUGGGUUCGUGGGUGAUGCAGCUGCAAGUUGCUUCAUUGAUUCUUUCUAUUGUGAUUUGGGAAUUUAAGGGGUUUAGGCCUGUCUUUUAAUUUUUAUUUCUUAUUUAUAUUAAAGUUAUAUAUUAUUUUUAAUUAUGAGUUUAAUCCAAUCGGAUUGAUCAAUCUGAUCUAUUACAAAUCAAAUUCGAUUGGAUUGAAACUCAUAAUUAAAAAUCCAAAUCCAACCUGAACAAAAUCUGAUCGGUUCGAUGCGGAUCAAUCCAAAUCUGAUCCGACGCCCAGCCCUAACUUAAGUAAUAGUUGGUCAGGUUUUAUCUACCUCUUUUUUGUUGCCAAAUUUGAUUUUUUUUUUCCCUCAGGGGUCCUUGGGGUGCUCUUUCUCCAGUUCCUGAGAAUAAUGCGAUCGCUGUUGAUCCUCAGGUUUUUUAUUUUCUUCAAUCCUCUUUGUUUUAAUGUUUAUGUUCACACCACUUGAUUGGCUAUGGUGCCCAAUUAUUUAAUUCUGAAAGUGUUUCUCUUUCAUCUUUCCUGAAGGGAGGUGCCAUCUUUUCGGCAGCGGGUGAUUCUUGUGCAUAUUGCUGGGAUGUGGUAUGUGUCUUUUCAAGGUGAAUAUGUUUCAGAUGCUAAUACGUUUCUUAUUAGGAGCAAUUCUAAAUUUAUUGUGUCAUACAAUAUCUUCAAAUGACAUUCAUUUAUUUCUGGUAUCUGUACUGAAAACCAAUUCUUGUUUAACGGAGUUAUUCAGGAAAGCAGUAGGAUCAAAAUGGUUUUUAAGGGGCAUUCAGACUACUUGCACUGUAUAGUUGCCCGCAAUUCCACCAAUCAGGUCAAACCUUUUCCUUUUCUUAAAAAUGAUCCCCCCACAAGUGUUUAAUUUUUUGGAACUACCUUCAUGAAAACCUUUUGCUUUGAAAAUUUUUCAUCUUUCUUUUGUUGUAAUGGUUAUAUUAGUUUAUCUUUGGGAAUUCAAAGAGGAAAGAGAACAAAUUGCUUCCAAGGGGAGAAGAUCUUGAAAAUUUCUGUAGGAGGCAAGGAAGGAAAAAAAAAAUUUGAUGCAUUUAUUUGUGGAAUGAAGAUAAUUUCAAUAUGGGCUAUUUUUUUCCUUUUUCUCUUUUCUAUUUGACAAAUCGGCACUGAUUCUGGCAAGAUGUUGAAGAAUCUUAAAUUUUAUUUCUGCUUGUGUUCUCUGCUGAUGUUUUCCAUUAAAUCCAGUUCCUGGUUGGUUGAUGAAUUGUUGUUGGGAAGUCUAUACAAAUGGUCAUGUAUGAAUAAUUUAUUUGAAGUAAAGUUUAAAACUUAUUCAAAGGGUUAUGCAGUUAUCAUAUUUAUUCCUCUUUAAAAAUGGGUUUCUACAAACGAUUGCAUUAUUUUUAAUUUGGUAUUGUCUACUCCAACGCAGGUUGAAAACUAGUGACUGGUAACUCUUGUUAAUCGCCACAUCUUUGUUUGCUAAAGUCUGCUUGCAAUUAAUAUGCAUGAAGAAUUUCCUUUAGACUUGUUAAUCUAGCUGUUGAUUCAUAUGGCUGCAGUUAGGCACUGCCUUGUGCUAUUAAAUAUUGAUUACUAUUGAUAUUGACAUGUGCAGCUGUUUGCUACAUAAAUGUGGUUCGAAUAUUUUAUCUACUUCUCUUUCUGAUAUUCAUCUUUUUUACUUGUCAGAUUGUAACUGGUUCUGAGGAUGGAACUGCACGAAUCUGGGGUAGUAGCCAGUUUUAAUUUCAAUAAAUCAAGGCCCCCCAAUAGAGCAUUGUGGUAUUUCAUGCGUUGGGACCAUUUUGUGACAUACAUUGAUGCGUGGAAAUUGGCCCCAACAAAAUAUACAAUGACAAAACAUUAAUUAACGUCAUUAUCUGCCUUAUAUUCUAAAGUGGUUCCAUGCUGCUAUGAAUCAAUUGUCAUCAAAUCUAUUUUUCCUGCAUUUUAUAUCAUCCCCUUUUUUGCUUUGUGCUUUAGUAUACAUGAUUAACUAGUCAAAUUUAAGUUUCUAAUUUGCAUGUUUAUAUGGUGUUUGCCUAGAUUGCAAAAGCGGAAAGUGUAUUAAAGUAAUUGAUCCCGUGAAAGAUAAACAGUUGAAAGGAGUCAUUUCUUGUGUUAGUUGCAUUACUCUUGAUGCAAGCGAGAGCUGGUUGGUAAGAGUUCGAGCAACAAAUUAUGUUAUACUUUUCAGUUGAUUUGCAUUUCUUUAAAUUAUUAUGUAGUAUGUUGAUAUUGGAGGUGAAUUGAAGGCAUUGACUCUUGGCAUAUCUUGACAGAGUAUAUCAAAAAACUUAGUAGUUGGGAAUAAGUGUUAAAAGAUACUCUUAUGAUUAAAUUUCCACUGUAAUACAAAUGUCUAUGAUAGCUUGUUCUGGUGUGAAGAUUAUUUCUAAUCUCAUAGCUGUUUUAGCUCAGAAUGUGACUUUUAUUAUUUUGUUAUUGAGUUCUUACUUUCACAGGCUUGUGGCAGUGGUCAAAAUUUGUCAGUCUGGAAUCUCCCCACUUCUGAAUGUGUUUCUACCAUUUCCAGUCAUUCUCCUAUACAGGAUGUAGUAUUUGAUAAUAAUCAAGUAAGUGGGAUGAACCUGUGCUGGAAUUGAAUAUCUUUAUACAUUUGCCUACCUAUGGAAGGAAAAGGGCAUUUAUUUAUAUCCUUAACAGCACAAUAGUUUGAGUGAGAAAAAAGAGGCAGGCAGAUUUGAAAAUUAAGCAGGUUUUAGCCCAUUCUGGACUGAAAAAUGCGUGGAAAGCUGUUUUCUAAGUUGAUAUGUUCAAUGCUACUGCUUUACUGAAACCUGUCUCAUACGCUAAAUACGUUCUGCUGCUGGCUGCAUUUCUUCAAUUUUCCAAUUCCUUAAUUCUAUGAAUAUAAGUUGAUUGUCAUCUUUUGCAAAGAUCUCUUUGCGGUUGUGUAAAGUAUUCAUCGGAUUGUGCUAUAAGUUACUUUAGUCAAUAUACUGCAGCACUACUGCCAAUUUUCAAAGUCCUGUACCUAUUAGAGUAUUGUGGUAUAGAUUAGCUUUACAUGUUUCACCAGCUGAUAAUAAUUAUAUUAACAUUUCAGAUUUUAGCUGUUGGGGCAGAACCUCUACUGAAUCGUUUUGAUAUAAAUGGGAUGACACUUUCACAAAUACAAUGUGCUCCACGCUCUGCAUUUUCAGUCUCUUUACAUCCCUCUGGUGUAUGAUUCUGCUUAAUUUUUCCUCUGUCUUCUAGUAUCUAUUUUCUCUCUAUUUUUUUCCCUAAAAUUUUCAUGACAAUGCAUGAUGUUUUUUACAUUUUGGUUUGAUAGAAGGAUGCUCAUAUUUGUUGUUUAGCUUCUUGUUACUUUUUAGACCAAUAUUCCCUACUCAUUGUGAUGUCACGUAAAGUGAAUCUGAGGUAAAACAUGGUGCUGAAGUGUAACUAGUUGCAGUUCGCAUGCAUUUACCCAUCUAUAGAUGUAGUCGGUAAUGAAACAAUUUAGGUACCUAUUUAUUGUCGUCAGAUAAUUUUGCUUUCAACAGUAGAUGUAUCAGCAUGGAUGGAUGGAUAAAUGAAUGUUUAGAAGUUUGGCAUUCUUGCUGAUAGAAGUCAUGAGUUACUGAGAUACAUGCCAAUUAAAACCCAAUAGCUAGCCAAGGAAUUAUCAUGUGAUAAUCUGUGGAUGCAUCAUGUGUGCAUAUGCAUUUGUCAUUCAGUUGUUGGAAUUUAGUCUCUGCAUUUGGUUUCUUGCUACUUCUCGAUUGCUUCAAUUGCAUAGAUGGCUAAUGUUACAAUGAUACUAAUCCAUUGAUCAUUACUGGCCCGCUUUGCUUCUUGUUUUGCUAAAGCCAUUGUUCUGAACAGGUUAUAUCUGUUGGAGGUUAUGGAGGUCUUGUGGAUGUUAUCUCACAGUUUGGAAGCCAUUUGUGCACAUUCUGCUGUCAAGGCUUAUGAAUGUUGCUAUUGUCCGUGGCAUGUUCUAAAUUUUUUGGUGAGAGUAGCUUACCAAUGCAGUUGUAAUGCUAACGCUGCAGACACAGAGUAUUAAUCUCUAAGGCUACAAUGGCACUCCGAAUUGCUUUAAUAUUUUAAUUUGUUUGAUGUUUCUAUUUUACACUCAAAACCUGUGCCUGCUUGUAUGUAUUAUUUGUGCAGCCAGGAUCUGGUUUCUGUGUUUUACAUAGUAUUCGCAGUUGAUCACCCAUGGUUGAAAUUAGGAUUAUCAUAGGAGCUAUGAUGGUCGUUGAGUAUGAAGUUCUGUUUGUUCUAUUUUUUUUUCUCCUUUUUUGCCCUUUUUCCUUUCUCGCUCUACCUAAAAAAAAAAUUAAUAUUUUGAUGAUCUAAGUUGGACUAAAAUAAAAAGAUCAUAAAUAACAAUUGUGCUCUUAGAACAAAAUAUCAAGGACCUUAAGUUUUUACUUGGUGAGAUUUGUUUAAUAGUUAUAAAUGUUUAUUUAGUUUAAUUCGCUCUUUUUAAAUUUUUUUAUUAUUAUUGUUGGUGUCUUGAGUAAAGAAUUUAAAAAUAAGAUUAAAAUAAUAACAUUUAUUAAAAAAGUGGAUUCUGUUACUUUCCAACUGGUGUUUGGUGUCCCUAUUUUGUCAUUUAAUGAUUUAACUAUUAAAUGUAACUAAAGAGUUGCAUAUCGGCGAAGAUGGGUUUGCAUGGUUAUUAAUAUUGUCAUACCUGAUGUUUGUUGAAAAGUUAGAAAUGGCAAAAGUUUUUAAAUGUUGACCUAGAUGUCUAGACUGUUUCAAUUUUUUUUACAAUCAAAUCUGUUGACCUAGUUUGAAUGCAUGAGUAUAGUGUGUGGACAAUAAUGUAAUCUCAUGUAAAAAUUUUAAAUUGCACGAAAAACUAACAUGAUUUAAUAAUAAAAUUUUAACAUAAUAUCUAUUUAAUAUACAAUAAUUAUUUGAAUAUGUCAAUUAAAAAAGAAUACAUGAUAAAAACAUGUUAAUUUGUUAACAAUAAUAAUAUAUGGCCAUAACAAACAUGCAUAUGCCUAAAUUAAAUGUUUCCAAUAAUAUUAUUAAUGAACAAGUUGCGUAAUUCCUAACAUAUGUUUAAUUAAAUAUUUUUUAUUUUGAUAUUAUUAUCUUCUUGUGUACAAUAACUGAAUUUCAUUUAUGUUCUUUCUUUAUUCCUAAUUAGCAAUUUAGCACACAUGAACUCUAUCCUCUAUUUUUGUUUCCUUCUUUUCAUAAACUCUAACUUAAUAAAAUAGUUUUAAUUAAAACCAUCAUAUUUUAGAAAUAGAUUUUUUGAUCGACAAAAAUUCUACUAUUGAUUCUUUGAUCUAUGCAGUAGUGUGAUUUAAAAGAAUUAUUAAUUUUUCAUAAAUGCCAUUGAAUAAAGAUUUAUAGCUCUUAAAAUUUUAUUUUGUAUAAACUUACCAUUCAUGUUCUCUAAAGUUCUUGAAAUAAACCUUUUCUUGGGAUUUUCUUUUUUUUGAAUUUAUACAAUGACUAUUUUUAUGUUAAAUAAAAGAUAACAUAGGUAGAGAAUAAAUGGUUAUAAAUUAUAGAUGAUUAUUUUUUGUCCUUAAUAGUAAUUUAAUGAAUGGUUAUUUUUAUAAUAUUUUUUAUGAUUUAAUUAUAGUAUAAGGUCAUUUGAACCCACUAAAUUACUUUCUACACUCAAUUGGUCAAAAAACCCGUAGCCUAAAUUAAAAUUAGACAAUGUACUUCUCAUAAUAAUGAAAAUAACCCCAAUUUAAUUUUUUUUAAUAAUAAAUUAUUCACCUCUGUUUUUUAAUCAAAAUUGAUCUUUUAUGGACUAGAUAAGCUUACAAAGUGUGGACAAUAAAAAUGAACAGAAAAGUACUUUAAGCUUCUAAAAAUUCAACUCUUAAUUUGAUAGCAAUAAACAUUGAUUUAUCUCUUUAUCAUUCAUUUUUUUUACUUGUAAUGGAAAAAGAAUUCUCCACAAUUUUGUUAUCAAUUGCAAACUUACAACUCUCAAAUGGGGAUUGGUACUAAAUAUUAAGUAAGGAUGCUCAGAUCUUGAUUUUGUGUUUUUUUUUUAUGCUAUUUGCCUUUGGUUUUGCGGUUAAUUCGUGAUCAUUAUGCAAUUCUUCAUAUAUAUACACUUCUAGUGUUUAUGCAAUUUUUAAAUAUUCCUCUACUGAAGGAUUCCAUGAAAGCCCAAUUCAUGCCUCAUGAAAUUAAUGCUAAAACUUGCUUAAAUUAAAGGUCUCUAACAACAAAUGCGGAUGGUAAUUCAAUUUGAUUCCUUUGUUCCAUUAAUUUUUACACUAUUUUUCUUUUUUCUCUUUGAAUGAAUAUUAUUUGUUUACAAUGAAAUUACGUUUAGCUUAAAAUAAAUUUUGAAUUGAAAUUAGGAUAAGAUCAAAGAAAGUAUAAUUAAGUAAGUAUAUAUCUUGUCCUUAAUAGUAAAUUAUUUCAUAGGCAUUUUAAUAAUUGAAAUUUUUAAUUAAAAAAUAGGUGCAAAAAGUAUUUUUAAGUCAAAUAGCCUAAUUUUAAUUAAAAGGAGCUACUAUGUGUAUUUUUAUUAUUUAAAUAUCCAAAAUGCAUAAUUUAUUUUUUGUAAGGGUAAAAUUUUGUUAAUGGUCAACUCAACAGUAUAAGUAUUAAAAUUUGAAAUGAAUAGGACUUGAGUGUCAAAAUUUAGAAAUACUAUUUAGUUUUUUUUUUUUAACAAAACAUAGACUAUAGUGCAAUUAAAUGAAAAAAAAAAGACAAAGUAAGAUUGGUAAUGUAAUUUUGCCCAGUUUGAUAAUUAAAAAGAAAGUGAAAAAUAACUAUGCAAUCCUUGAAUUUGAUAAGAGAAAGAAAGUAAAAAGAGUUGUAUAAUAUAUUUUAGGGGUGAAAGCUCGUUUAGUCCCUAUAUUUUGAGGUUAGUGUCCGUUUAAUCCUUAUAUUUUUAAAAAUAACUCAAAGCAUUCCUACCAUUAAAUUAUUGACAUCCUUGCCAUUACCUUUUGUUCAUUUUGACUUAUUUUUACAAUAUUACCCUAUUACAAUAAUAUUCUUUUUUUAGACAUUAUUAAAAAGAAAAAUUAAAUUACUAGUUUAACACCAAAAAAUAAAAUAAAAAUAAUUUAUAUAUAUAUAAAAAUUAAUUUUUAUGAAAUACUCUGCUGAGGAGUUAAAAUAUUAAUUUUUCUAAAAAAUUGAUAAUUCAAUUUUUUACAAAAUUAAUUUUUUUGGACACACAUGAGCUUUCACAAAAAUUAAUAUAUAUCUUUUUUGUUUUUUAUUUUAUUUUUGGGCUUAAUUUGAUAAUCCAAUUUUUUAUUAAUAUCCAAAAAAGAAACAUUACUGUAAAAGUGUAAUAUUGUAAAAGCAUGCUAAAAAGAAUAAACAAUAAUGGCAUAAUAAUAUUGUAAAAGCAUGCUAAAAAGAAUAAACAAUAAUGGUAUAAGUGUCAAUAUUUAAUAGUAAGGACGUUUUGAGAUAUUCUUAAAAAUAUAGGGAUUAAAUGAGUACUAAGCUCAUAAUAUAAGGACUAAACAAGCUUUUAUCUUAUAUUUUAGUACUAAACUCUCAAACUUUGUUUGGGUCAAAUGAGCUCUAUUCAAAAUAUAGCUUUUUCAGUUUAUUAUAAAUAAAUCUCAUUUCUCAAAUCUCACGAUCCAAAAAUAAUGUUAAAUGGAGAAAAUUGGACUGAUUAUGGAGGAAAGGUGAGGAAGAAUGGGAAAAAUAAAAUUAUCGCUAUACUUAGAACUAAAUUGUAAAUAAGAAAGAAUGUAAGGGAUUCAAUAAAAAAAGACAAAAGAGGGGUACGGUGUCUGAGUGGUAUAGUAGCUUUGUCCUAAAAAAGUAUAAAUUUUGGUCAUUUACAAGUAAAAAUUAAAAUUUUUUAAAUAUUAAAAUGUCAGAAAUAUUUUAUAUUUAUUUGACAAUUUUAUUUUAUUUUUUUAUAAUAUAAGUUUUAAAAUGUUUUUUAUUAAAAUAAUUUUAUAAUUUUAAUAAAAAUUCUUACUGUCAACUAAAUAAUUAAAAAAAAUUAAUAAAAGUUUUACUUGUAAAAUUCUACUAUAAAAAUUAUAUUUAAUGAGCUCAAGACUUUGUAAAUUUAGUGGAAUUUAUCAAAUUCUGUAUGGUAUAUAAUAUGCAUUAAAGAUUAAAGCCUUGUGCCUUUCCAAAGCUUGUUAAAUAUAGAGUAUUUUUUUUCACAAAAUAAUAAUGUCUCAUAUCAAUUACAUUUUAAGCAAUUUAAUUCUAAUCCAAUGGCUGCAGUUUUCAAUAUAAUCGUCCUUCACCCGCUCUCAUCCAUUCAUCUACUAUAACUUAUUUUAAUUGUCAAUUUGAAAAAAAAAUCAGCAAGAUAAAAAAUAAGAAAGAAAUCAGCGUACAUGCAAAUGCAUGUUAAAGGAAUUGCACCCAUUUAUUGUAUAAUAUUAUGUAUCUUUAUUUUUUACAGCCUGUGAAACGAAGUGAGCUUCUUGAUCUGCUUCGCAUUCUCCCAAACGACAGCUUGAUACUUGUUCGUCGCCGUUCCGUCCUGCGCAGCCACGACAAGCCGGUAAUUCGUGCCGGAAACCACCUGCGUCUCGCCUUUCUCCACGCUCUGGAACUUCAACUCCAUCUUCGACUGUUUGUUAUACUCCACCACCGCGAACUGCCCGAUCUCUAUCACGUGCGGAUCAUUCGGGUCCUCUAUAGGCUUCCAUCCGCCGACCAGUGCGGCGUCUGUACGGGCGCCGGUGGCCAGAAGGAGGGUAGAGAGAAAGAGAGCGAGAUAAAGGCAACGUCCUUUCAUGUGUUUGUUCGAUGUAUAAUUUUCCUUUUUUUUUUUAUUCUUUAUUCUGAAUUUCAGUUUUGGUGGCGUGUGCGAAUUUAUACGCAGAGGAAAGCGCCGUUUAGUGGGGCCCCAAUUCGCUGAAUUUUUUAAUUCGCGAUACCAUGUGCGCACGUGUGUAGGCUUUCGCUGAUUUGUGGCCGUCUGAUUUGUGCAAUUGUUGAACUUUGAAACUAGUUCUUCUGAAAUUCGUAGUUCGGAAGUUGUAACCAUAUAUGAGAACUUCACAAAUGGCAUAUUAUCAACCUAAUAAGGGAUCGUUUUAGAUAUCCAUGGAAUUGAUGAUUAGAUAUCCAAAGAAUCACCUACGGAUUAGAUUUUAAAAAUAAUCAACUUUCCAAAUAAUUUUAUAAUAUAUUUGGUAAACUUAGAUUACAUGACAAUUAGUUCUGGGAAAGUUUAUUAUACACAUUGGAUAAAAAUAAUCAUAAAUUUGUGGUGUUCAUGUAGAAUGACUCAAAAUGUAUACAUUUUGUUAAAAAUUAAUAUUUUUAUUGAAAAUUUUAAAUUGUAAAACAUAAUUUUUAUUAAUUUUAAUUUUAAUUGUGUAAAUUAUUAUUGAUAAGUGCAACAGAAAUAAAAUAUUAUUAUUAAUAAUAUAGUACAAAAUUAAUAUUUUCUUAAAAUAAAAUAUUUAUUAUUUAUUAUUAAUGUUAAAUAAAUAUAAUAAUAUUAUGUUUAAAUAAGUUUAAUAUUAUUAUUUUUAAUAAAUAUAAUUUAUAAAAUAAUAUAAUGAUGUUAUUUAAAUAAAAAUGAUAUUAUUUAUUUUAUUUUAUUAAAUAUAAUUAUAUUAAAUUUAAUAAAAUAAGUGUACAAAAGAAAGAGGUGGGAGUGGAAAAUGGGAGUGAGAAUUUCACUCUUCACUCUCAAAAUGAGUGGGACGCAUGGGUAAGAUCGAAAAUGGGAGUGAGAAUCUUACUCUCCACUCCCAAAAAGAGUGGGACCCACGGGAUAAGAUAUAAAUCAACAUUCCUCGCUUCCACUCCAGUAAGUAAACAUAAUAUGAAACUCUAGUUCCCUCUUUGGCCUCUUCUGCUCUUCUUCUCUCUAUUAUUUUCUUCCACUUCCUUGCUUCUAAAUUGCUAGUUUGUUAGUAGCAAUCCAUCAUCUAGUAUGAGAGCAGUGGUCCUGAGCAUCAUGAUUGUUAAGGAAUUAGAAGAAAAGGUAAGAGUAAUUAGCUCAUCAAUUCGAUGAGAAAGUUGAUGUCUUAUCUAAACAGUCUAACGAACUCUAAGAAUUAAUUAUAGGUUUUCGAAACAAUUUAUCCAAUUUCAAGAAGAUAGAAAUAAUAGUUGUUGAGUACUACAGAAUGCAUAUUUAUAAAAAGUAAAACAGGAGUGGCUCAACCCUUAGGCAACUUAGGCGACUGCCUAAGACCCUGUUAUAUAUGAAGGUGAUUGACACUAAAAAGUGUACAUUUAAUAAGGAUAAAGUUAUUAGUUUUUCACUUAUUGUGUUGAUUAAUAUACUCAUUAUUCUUAAAUUAUCUUAACACUCCCCAAAUAUUUUUUAUUUUAAAUUAAUUUGUAAUAUGUUAAUUUUAUUUUAAUUUUGUAUUGUAGAUAUAUUUCAAGAAUAAAGAGGAGUUGGAACUAAAAGAUAGAAUAAAGAAGAAUUACUGGAGUCAUUUCGAAUGCAUUAUUGAAGAGAUGUAAUUAAUAAAAAAAAAUAUUUCAAAAAAAAAAGAGGAAAGGUGAAAGAUGCUCGUGAUGGUUAGGUGGCAAUUUGGCCACCUGACCA